rnacentral:lncRNA from 1 species
GUGGGCAGGCUUCUGGCCUCCCUGUCCGCCCCCUGACCUAGGUCUUUGGACUAUAAAUUCCCAAAUAUUCCACAAAAAAUCAGUGGAGCCUCGAAAAUACUUUUCCGCCGCCUCAAGCUUCCGUUUCUGCGAGAUCUCAUCUGGAGACCCUUCCCGGCGCCCUGUCGGAGGGGACUUUGGAGUUGGAGGGCUUCUUCAUCAUCAUCAUCGCCCCUCCAAUGACUCAUGAGUAGUUCACUUCAGACCUACGGGUCUGUAGUUUGUAGCUAGAUGGCUUCUUCUCUCUCUUGGAUCUUCAAUACAAAGUUCUCCAUGAUCUUCAUGGAGAUCUAUCAGAUGUAAUCCUUUUUGGCGGUGUGUUUGUCGAGAUCCGAUGAAUUGUGGAUUUGUGAUCAGAUUAUCUAUGAUAUAUAUUUGAGUCUUUGCUGAUUUAUUAUAUGCAUGAUUUGAUAUCCUUGUAAGUCUCUCUGAGUCUUGGGUUUUGUUUGGCCAAGUAGAUCUAUGAUUCUUGAAGUGGGAGAAGUGCUUGGUUUUGGGUUCUACCAUGUGGUGACCUUUCCCAGUGACAGUAGGGGCAACAAGGCACACAUCAAGUAGUUGCCAUCAAGGGUAAAAAGAUGGGGUUUNNNNNNNNNNNNNNNNNNNNNNNNNNNNNNNNNNNNNNNNNUUUCUUAUGGACUUAAUACACUAGAUGCAUGCUGGAUAGCGGUCGACGUGUGGAGUAAUAGUAGUAGAUGUAGAAAGUAUCGGUCUACUUGUUUCAGACGUGAUGCCUAUAGAUAUAAUCAUUGCAUAGAUAUCGUCACGACUUUGCGCGGUUCUAUCAGUUGCUCGACAGUAAUUUUUUCACCCACCAUCUACUUGCUUUCAUGAGAGAAGCCACUAGUAAACACUACGGCCCCCGNNNNNNNNNNNNNNNNNNNNNNNNNNNNNNNNNNNNNNNNNNNNNNNNNNNNNNNNNNNNNNNNNNNNNNNNNNNNNNNNNNNNNNNNNNNNNNNNNNNNNNNNNNNNNNNNNNNNNNNNNNNNNNNNNNNNNNNNNNNNNNNNNAUUCAGUUCUCACUUGGCAAACAAUCUAUAAGGGAUUGACAACCCCUUCAUAGCAUUGGGUGCAAGCUUUUGUGUUUGUGCAGGAUCUUGAGAUACUCCUCCGCCGGAUUGAUACCUUGGUUCUCAAACUGAGGGAAAUACUUACCGNNNNNNNNNNNNNNNNNNNNNNNNNNNNNNNNNNNNNNNNNNNNNNNNNNNNNNNNNNNNNNNNNNNNNNNNNNNNNNNNNNNNNNNNNNNNNNNNNNNNCAACUUUUAUCCGAGGAAGAAUCCUCCCAUGGUUGAGUUCAUGUUGUACGAUAUCCCCAGUGCAUGACACUACAUGACUUUUGUAAUGCAUGCAAAUUACCUUAUGUUGGGGAUAUUCAUGAUCCUCGUCCACGGGACUUGCAGGAUUUCAUAGGUACUAUUGCUGUUGGUGAGGAGAGAGGAGUGUCUCGCGCUAGAAUUGCUAGCAUACAUUGUCCUGUGCUUUGGUACUUCUCAUUAUUUGUGGGAAAAUGUUUGAUUGGCCAUGGGGAGGCUAGAUCACUUAGUUCUCCAGACCUUGCGGUUUUGCAUGAAGGCCUUUAUAGCACUAAGACUUAUAGCCUAGGUGCUAUAGUAGCUCAGUGGUUGAACACAAACCGUUCCAAAGGUGUCGUCUAUGGAGGUAUCUAUGCUACUCGUCUCGCUAGACACUUUGAGAUACCCAUUCGACUACGCGAGGAAGAAGAGAUGCUUCUUCCCGAGAAAUAUCUGGAUUAUGACAGCAUGGUUCGCCAUGAUUUUCUAGAUAGAGAUGCUAGUAGACGGACGAUUUAUAACCUGGUAUUUAGUCAGGGUACUCGAGAGACUAUUACUUUGCCUGCUCCUUCUUUGUUCGAUCUUCAUGCAGGCAGGUACACUAUUAUGCCUUCGGACAUCUACGAAUAUUGGGGCUUAGCCCAACCACAGGUGCUCGUGCCCGAGCUGCCAGUCGAGUACCAGACGCCAGUUUAUCAGUGGGAGCCAGAGGAGCUCAUACAGCAGUGGCAUCCAUAGUCUGGUCCGGAGUAUCCCAGAGCUGGUUAUUUCCCGCCUUGGGAGUAGACCAAGCUAGGCCAAAAGCCUAAGCUUGGGGGAGUACGUGUUCUCACCGACCUUAGAUUCAUGCUUAUGCUUUUACUUUAUUCGUCGGUGUUCACACUUUGCCACUGUAUUAUCCAUGCUAGUUUAUUUUCGUUUUCUUGUUUUGCGUCCUUUUGAGAAAACCCAAAAAUAUUUUCCUUUUUUUGCUUGUUGGGAGCUUUCCCGUGUAAAUAGUUUUCUUUUUUUUCUUUGGGUCAAGGUAGAAGAUAUUUGUUACAAUGUUUAGUGGCUCUUGCAUGCAUACCUGUUUAGCUUUCAAAGAGCCAUAUUACUUUGUCUUCUCCUUUGUGUUUGCCUGCAGAUUCAGCUUAGUCCAUUGCCCGAGCACUCUUAUUAUUGUUCACAUCGUUCGAUCGUGCAAGUGAAAGGCAAUAAUGAUGAUAUAUGAUGAAGUGACUGAGAGUGGAAAACCUCGUAUGAACUCUAUCUAUUUCGUUUUUUGUAAAUAUGACUAGCUUGUCAUCCCAGAUUCAGCAUUGUUGUGAGAGAACCAUGUUUGCAAUGACAACUUAGAGAUCAUAGUUUCUGAUGCCAUGCUUAUUUAGCUAGGAGCUUAUAAUGGUUUGUCUUGAAUGCCAACAUAGAUUUUGAGAUGACUAUGAUGUAGUAUGAUAGGAUGGUAUUCUCCUUUGCAUGAUUCAAGUGGCUUGACUUGGCGCAUGUUCAUGCAUAUAGUUGAAACAAAAUCAACAUAGCCUCUAUGAUGUUCUUGUUCAUGGUGAUUUAUAUCCUGUUCAUGCUUGCAUUCCAUGUUAGUCAAACUCAUUGCAUCUUGAUGACUGUUGUUGCUCUCUAGUUGGUUGCUUCCCAGUAUUUUGCUAGCCUUCACUUGUACUAAGCGGAAUACUGCUUGUGCAUCCACUUCCAUAAACCCAAAAGUUUUUCCAUGAGAGUCCACCAUACCUACCUAUGUGCGGUAUUUACCUGUCGUUCCAAGUAAAUUUGCAUGUGCCAUUCUCUAAACCUUCAAGAAAUAAUCUGUUUUGCAUGCCCAAACCGCUCAUGUGGUGACAGGGGGCUAUUGGUAUCUUCCAUGUUAGGCGUGUUAUCAUCGACAUGUGUUUAUUCACUGUCAUUCACGAGAAAGGGGCCGGUAAUUGGAAUCCCAGUUCCACGCUUAAAUCGAAAACAUAACUGUAAAACAAGACUCCCCCCAGAUUGAUGUUAGUAUGGACGGUACCCGAGGAUUCGGCUAGCCGUGGAGUGUGAUUGAUUGGUGGUGGGGGAGUUAAAACUUCACUUUUCUGUUUGGGAAUCGCCUAUAGCAUGAGUAGCGUGGAAGAUAUUGAGAACUCUUGGUCAUUGCGUUGACAAUGAAAGCAUGCCACCCAAAAUUAUUAUCUCUGUUUUCAAAGCUUGAGCUCUGGCACCUCUGCAAAUCAAUGCUUCCCUCUGCGAAGGGCCUGUCUAUUUAUUUUCCUGUUGAGUCGUCCUCUUCUUAUAAGCACCAAUUAGAGAGCACCUCUGUCAUCUUUAUGCUUUGCUUUUGAUUGAUAUUGAGUAUGACUAUGACUGGAUCUUUGUUGCUAUGAAUUACAAUGUUUAGUCAGCCCUUGAUCUUUGAAAGUGCUCUGCAUUUAUGUUUUGCGGUCUCAGAAAGAGCUAGCGAGAUACCACCUAUUCAUAUUGCUUCAUGCUUGUUUUGAUUGAAUUGUUGAUAUCUGAAACUCAUUAUUAUUUGCUUGCUAGCUGAUUAUGCGAUUGAUAUUAGUUUACCGUGAGACCUUUGUGUCACUUGCUUAUGUGGUUAACUUGUGAUCUUGCUGAAAUUCUGGUUAUGAGUUAGAUAUAGUUGCAACAACAAGAUCAAACAGAGUUUGUCAAAGUUUUUCUUUCUCUUUCAGUUUGUCAACUGAGUUGCUUGAGGACAAGCAAGGUUUUAAGGUUGGGGGAGUUUGAUACGUCUCCAUCGUAUCUACUUUUCCAAACUCUUUUGCCCUUGUUUUGGACUCUAAUUUGCAUGAUUUGAAUGGAACUAACCCGGACUGACGCUGUUUUCAGCAGAAUUGCCAUGGUGUUGUUUUUGUGCAGAAAUGAAAGUUCUCGGAACGUCCUGAAAAUUUACGGAGAAUUUUUCACGAAAAUAUGAAAAAUACCUGCGCAAAGAUCCACCGGAGGGGAUGGGCCAGUGGGCCACAAGCCCUGUUGUCGCGGCCACCCCCCUGGCCGUGGCAAUCAAGCUUGUGGGGCCCACGUGGCUCUGCCGCCCCCAAACUCAGCUCUAUAAAUUCACUUUCGCCUAGAAAAAAUCAGAUGAGAAGAUUUCGUCGCGUUUGCGAUACGGAGGCGCCGCCACAUCCUGUUCUUCAUCUGGAGGACAGAUCUGGAGUCCGUUUUGGGCUCCGGAGAGGGGAAAUCGUCGCCAUCGUCAUCAUCAACCUUCUUCCUUCUCCAAUUCCAUGAAGCUCUUCAUCGUUCGUGAGUAAUCUAUUCGUAGGCUCGCUGGGCGGUGAUGAGUAGGAUGAGAUCUAUCAUGUCAUCGAGUUAGUUUUGACGGGGAUUGAUCCCUAGUAUCCACUAUGUUCUGAGAUUGAUGUUGCUACUACUUUGCCAUGCUUAAUGCUUGUCACUAGGGCCCGAGUGCCAUGAUUUAAGAUCUGAAAUUAUUAUGUUGUCACCAAUAUAUGUGUGUUUUAGAUCCGAUCUUGCAAGUUGUAGUUACCUACUAUGUGUUAUGACCCGGCAACCCCGGAGUGACAAUAAUCGGAACCACUCCCGGUGAUAACCAUAGUUUGAGGAGUUCAUGUGCUCACCAAGUGCUAAUGCGUUGUUCUGGUUCUUUAUUAAAAGGAGAACCUUAAUAUCCUGUAGUAUCCUUUUGGACCCUACUGCCACGGGAGGGAUGGACAAUAGAUGUCAUGCAAGUUCUUUUCCCUAAGCAUGUAUGAUUACACACGGAAUGCAUGCCUACAUCACAUUGACGAACGGGAGCUAGCCACAUAUCUCUCCGUGUAAUAAUUGUUGCAUGAUGAAUAUCAUCCAAACGAAUCACCGACCUAUUGCCUACGAGUUUGUCCCACUGCUGUUGUUACUUGUUUUGCUCUGCUCCUGUUACUGGUGUUACUUGCUUUGCACUGCUGCUGUUACUAUUGUUGCUACUUGAUACUGCUGUUACUACUGUCGCUUGCUCUACUGCUACUUGCUACUGUUGCUACUUGCUAUUGUUGUCACUAUUGUUGUUCCUUGCCACUGCUGUUACUCGUUACACUGCUGCUACCUGCUACAAUACUUUCUUGGCGCCAUUGAUACGAGAGUUAGGAAUAGUCUGCCGUCAACAGAUCGUUUCUGACACCGUUGUUAUCAUACUACUUUGCUGCUGAUACUUUUCUUGCAGAUACUAAUCUUUCAGGUGUGGUUGAAUCUGACACAUUCAAUUGCUAAUACUCGAGAGUAUUCUCUCACCUCCUGACUGGUGUACCAACAAAUUUGGUUCGAAUACUCUACCCUCGAAAACCGUCGCGAACCCACGCGCUGGUGGGCCAUUGCAAGACAAUUGCUAAUUGUUGAGCAACUAGGAGCAGUUCUGGCUCUGUUGUCGCGAAGGCAGGCAGUCAGAGAUUCGUCAACAACAUUCUUCUAGUGUCGUUGCCGGGGACUGCUAACCACUGCACACCUUUUGAGAGAGACAUGCACUCAUCAUGAUUUUGCUAGAAUGCUCAUUGUGCUUCACUUAGAUCUUUUAGAGCACGGCGGUGCGUGACUUGGUAGUUGGCUUGUGCUAUGAAAGUAGUCCCAAAGGUGAUAGGUACCCAAAGAGGAUACAAAAACCUCCAUCUUCAUGUGCAUUGAGUAGAAAGAGAAGUUUGAUUCCUCUCAAUUAGUUUUGAGACAUGGAUUUGGUAAUAUUAAGAGUUAUGUUAGUAGGGUGUUGUGAAUCUAGAAAUACUUGUGUUGAAGUUAGUGAUUCCCGUAGCAUGCACGUAUGGUGAACCGCUAUGUUAAGAAGUCGGAGCAUAAUUAAUCUAUUGAUUGUCAUCCUUUGUGUUGAGGUCGGGAUCGCGCGAUGGUUAACACCUACCAACCCUUCCCCUAGGAGUAUGCGUUUAGCACUUUGUUUCGAUUACUAAUAAAAACUUUCGCAACAAGUAUGUGAGUUCUUCAUGACAAAUGUGAGUCCAUGGUAUAGAUGCACUUUCACCUUCCACCAUUGCUAGCCUCUCUAGUACCGCUCAACUUUCGCCGGUACACAAACCCACCAUAUGCCUUCCUCAAAACAGCCACCAUACCUACCUACUAUGGCAUUUUCAUAGCCAUUCUGAGAUAUAUUGCCAUGCAACUCCCACCGUUCCGUCUCAUGACUUGUGCCGUCACUCUCAUAUUGCAAUUGCAUGAUCGUAAGAUGGCUAGCGAGAUGUUUCAACGUCAUACGCCAAGCUAGAUCGUUGCACAUCCCGGUACACUGUCGGAGGCAUUUCCUAUAGAGUCAUCAUCGUUCUCAGCUUUGAGCUGUGAGUAAAUAAAAGUGUGAUGAUCAUCAUUAUUAGAGCAUUGUCCCGUGUGAGCAAAAAAAGAGGCCAAAGAGCUGAAAUAAUAAAAAAAGAGAAAAAAAGUGGCCCAAGAGCCCAUAUAAAAAAAGGAGAGAAAAAGAGAGAAGGGACAAUGCUACUAUCUUUUUCCACACUUGUGCUUCAUAAUAGCACCAUGUUCUUCAUGAUUGAGGGCAUCUCAUUUCGUCACCACCAUAUUCUAGUGGGAAUCUUUAUUAUAUAACUUGGCUUGUAUAUUCCAAUGAUGGGCUUCCUCAAAUUGCCCUAGGUUUUCGUGAGCGAGCAAGUUGGAUGCACACCCACUAGUUCUCCUUUUGAGCUUUCACAUACUUAUAGCUCUAGUUCAUCCUUUGUAUGGCAAUCCCUACUCAUUCACAUUGAUAUCUAUUACUGGGCAUCUCCAUAGCCCUUUGAUAUGCCGAGUCAAUGUGACCAUCUCCUCCUUUUUGUCUAACAACCACCAUCACACUCUAUUCCACCUAUAGUGCUAUAUCCAUGGCUCACGCUCAUGUAUUGCGUGAUAGUUAUAAAAAGUUUGAGAAAGUAAGAGUGCGAAAACAAUUACUUGGCCAAUACCGGGGUUGUGCAUGAUUUACAUUAGUUGUGUGAGGAUGAUGGAGCAUAGCCAGACUAUAUGAUUUUGUAGGGAUAACUUUCAUUGGCCUUGUUAUUUUGAAAGUUCAUGAUUACCUUGCUAGUUUGCUUGAGGUAUUAUUGUCUCCACAUCAAUAGAAAACUAUUGUUUAGAAUCUUACGGAUCUGAACAUUCAUGUCACGUGAAAGAAGUUGCAAAGGACAACUAUGCUAGGUAGCAUUCCACAUCAAAAUUUCAUUCUUUAUCACUUCCCUACUCGAGGACGAGCAGGAGUUAAGCUUGGGGAUGCUUGAUAAGUCUCCAACGUAUCUAUAAUUUUUGAUGGUUUCAUGCUAUUAUCUUGUCAAACUUUGGAUGUUUUGCAUGCCUUUUAUAUAUUUUUUGGGACUAACUUAUUAACUCAGUGCCAAGUGCUAGUUCUUGCUUUUUCCCACGUUUUUGACCCCUUUCAGAGGAGAUUUUGAAACAAAGUCCAAACGGAAGAAAAUCCCCGAAAAGAUUUUUUCUGGAAAAUAUCAAAAAUACCGGAAGAAAAAGAUACCGGAGAAGAGUCCCGAGGAAGUCACAAGCCUGUGGGGCGCCCCCACCCCCCUGGCCACGCCCCAAGGGCUUGUGACUCCCUCGUGGGUCCUCCUGACUUGUUCUCGACGCCAUCUGGUCUUAUAAAUAGGAAACCUCCAAAAAGAAACCUAGAUCGGGAGUUCCGCCGCCGCAAGCCUCUGUAGCCACNNNNNNNNNNCGGAGGGGGAAUCCAUCUCCGGUGGCCAUCUUCAUCAUCCCGACGAUCUCCAUGACAAGGAGGGAGUAGUUCUCCCUCGGGGCUGAGGGUAUGUACCAGUAGAUAUGUGUUUGAUCUCUCUAUCUCUCGUGUUCUUGAGAUGUUUUGAUCUCGAUGUACCGUGGGCUUUGCUACUAUAGUUGGAUCUUAUGAUAUACCUCCCCUCUCCCUUCUUGUAAUGAAUUGAGUUUCCCCUUUGAAGUUAUCUUACUGGAUUGAGUCUUUGAGAACACUUGAUGUAUGUCUUGCACGUGUCUAUCUGCGGUGAUCAACUUGCGGGUUUGUGACAUUGGGAACCUAUGCAUAUGGGUUGGCACACAUUUGAUUCAUGUGAGUACUCGAUGUAUGUUUUGGUGAUCAACUUGCGGGUUUGUGACAUUGGGAACCUAUGCAUAGGGGUUGGCACAUGUUUUGACUCUCCGGUAGAAACUUUGGGGCACUCUUUGAAGUUCUAUGUGUUGGUUGAAUAGAUGAUUNNNNNNNNNNNNNNNNNNNNNNNNNNNNNNNNNNNNNNNNNNNNNNNNNNNNNNNNNNNNNNNNNNNNNNNNNNNNNNNNNNNNNNNNNNNNNNNNNNNNGGUGUGAUAGACUCAACGUUCACAUACAACGGGUGCAAAACAGUUGCGAACGCGGAACACUCGGGUUAAGCUUGGCGAGCCUAGCAUGUGCAGACAUGGCCUCGGAACACAUGAGACCGAAAGGUCGAUCAUGAAUCAUAUAGAUGAUAUGAUUAGCAUAGGGAUGCUUACCACUGAAACUAUACUCAACUCACGUGAUGAUCGGACUUGAGCUAGUGUAAGUGGAUCAUGAACCACUCAAAUGACUAGAGAGAUGUACUUUUUGAGUGGGAGUUUAGCGAAUAAUUUGAUUAAGUUAAACUCUAAUUAUCUUGAACAUAGUCUAAGUCCACUUUGAAUAUAUUUGUGUUGUAGAUCAUGGCUCACGCGACAGUCAUCCUGAAUUUUAAUACGUUCCUAGAGAAAGCUAAGUUGAAAGAUGAUGGUAGCAACUUUGUAGACUGGGCUCGUAAUCUUAAGCUAAUCUUACAAGCUGGGAAGAAGGAUUAUGUCCUUAAUGCUACUUUAGGAGAUGAACCACCCGCUACGGCUGAUCAGGAUGUUAAGAACGCUUGGUUAGCACGUAAGGAGGACUACUCAAUAGUUCAAUGUGCAGUCUUGUAUGGCUUAGAACCGGGACUUCAACGUCGCUUUGAGCGUCAUGAAGCAUUUGAGAUGUUCCAGGAGUUGAAGUUUAUCUUUCAGAAGAACGCCCGGAUUGAGAGAUAUGAGACCUCCGAUAAAUUCUAUGCUUGCAAGAUGGAGGAAAACUCAUCUGUCAGUGAACAUGUGCUCAAAAUGUCUGGGUACUCAAACCGUCUAGCUGAGCUGGGGAUUGAACUCCAGCAAGAAGCUAUCACUGACAGAAUCCUUCAAUCACUGCCGCCAAGCUACAAAGGCUUUGUGUUGAACUACAACAUGCAAGGGAUGAACAAGUCUCCCGGCGAGUUGUUUGCGAUGCUGAAAGUCGCAGAGUCUGAACUCCGUAAAGAGCAUCAAGUGUUGAUGGUGAAUAAGACCACUAGUUUCAAGAGAAACGGCAAAGGCAAGAAGGGCAAUUCGAAGAAGAGCGGCAAGCCUGUUGCCAAUCCGACGAAGAAACCNNNNNNNNNNNNNNNNNNNNNNNNNNNNNNNNNNNNNNNNNNNNNNNNNNNNNNNNNNNNNNNNNNNNNNNNNNNNNNNNNNNNNNNNNNNNNNNNNNNNUGCCCUCGGAUUUGAGAUAGAAGGUGUACCCAACUGUCUCUUUUGGGUAACCUAUGAAGACGCAUUUUUCCGCUUUGGGUUUCAGCUUUUCAGGAUGAAGCUUUUUGACAUAGGCAUCACAUCCCCAAACUUUAAGAAACGACAACUUUGGCCUUUUGCCAUACCACAGUUCGUAUGGUGUCGUCUCAACGGAUUUUGAUGGUGCCCUAUUUAAAGUGAAUGCAGUUGUUUCUAAUGCAUAGCCCCAAAAUGAUAACGGCAAAUCAGUAAGAGACAUCAUAGAUCGCACCAUCUCUAAUAGAGGACGAUUACGACGUUCGGACACACCAUUACGCUGUGGUGUUCCAGGCGGUGUUAACUGUGAAACAAUUCCACAUUGUUUUAAGUGAGUACCAAACUCGAAACUCAGAUAUUCACCCCCACGAUCAGACCGUAGGAACUUGAUCUUCUUGUUACGAUGAUUUUCCACUUCACUCUGAAAUUGCUUGAACUUUUCAAAUGUUUCAGACUUGUGCUUCAUCAAGUAGACAUAACCAUAUAUACUUAAAUCGUCAGUGAAGGUGAGAAAAUAACGAUAUCCGCCGCGUGCCUCCACGCUCAUCGGAUCACACACAUCGGUAUGUAUGAUUUCCAAUAAGUCACUUGCACGCUCCAUUGUUCCUGAGAACGGAGUCUUAGUCAUCUUGCCCAUGAGGCAUGGUUCGCACGUGUCAAGUGAAUCAAAGUCAAGUGACUCCAAAAGUCCAUCAGCAUGGAGUUUCUUCAUGCGCUUUACACCAAUAUGACCUAAGCGGCAGUGCCACAAAAAUAUGGCGCUAUCAUUGUUAACUCUAACUCUUUUUGUCUCAAUGUUAUGUAUAUGCGUAUCGCUAUCAAGAUUCAAUAUGAACAAUCCUCUCACAUUCGGUGCAUGACCAUAAAAGAUGUUACUCAUAGAAAAUAGAAUAACUAUUAUUCUCUUUAAAUGAAUAAUCGUAUUGCAAUAAACACGAUCCAAUCAUGUUCAUGCUCUACGCAAACACCAAAUAACAAUUAUUUAGGUUUUACCACAAAUCCCGAUGAUAGAGGGAGCGUGCGAUGUUUGAUCACAUCAACCUUGGAAACACUUCCAACACGUAUCGUCACCUCGCCUUUAGCUAGUCUCCGUUUAUACCGUAGCUUUCAUUUCAAGUUACUAAUCACUUAGCAACCGAACCGGUAUCCAAUACCCUCGUGCUACUANNNNNNNNNNUAGUACUAGUAAAGUAUACAUCAAUAUCAUGUAUAUCAAAUGUACUUCUGUCGACUUUGCCAGCCUUCUUAUCUACCAAGUAUCUAGGGUAGCUCUGCCUCAGUGAACAUUCUCCUCAUAAUACAAACACUUAGUCUCGGGUUUGGGUUCAAUUUUGGGUUUCUUCAUUAGAGCAGCAACUGGUUUUCUGUUUCAUGAAGUAUACCUUCUAGGCCUCGCCCUUCUUGAAACUAGUGGUUUUACUAACCAUCAACAAUUGAUGCUCCUUCUUGAUUUCUACUUUCGUAGUGUCAAACAUUGCGAAUCACUCAAGGAUCAUCAUAUCUAUCCUUGAUUUGUUUAUAGUUCAUCACGAAGCUCUAGCAGCUUAGUGGCAUUGACUUUGGAGAACCAUCACUAUCUCAUCUGGAAGAUUAACUCCCACUUGAUUCAAACGAUUGUUGUACUCAGACAAUCUGAGAACAUGCUCAACGAUUUGAGCUUUUCUCCUUUACUUUGUAGGCAAAGAAUCUUGUCGGAGGUCUUAUACCUCUCAACAAGGGCACGAGCAUGAAAUCUCAAUUUCAUCUCUUAGAACAUCUCUUAUGUUCCGCGACGUUUUCAAAAACGUCUUUGGCGCCUUGCUUCUAAGCCAUUAAGUAUUGCGCACUAAACUAUCACGUAGUCAUCAAAAACGUGUAUGUCACAUGUUCGCAACAUCCACAUACGACGCUCGAGGUGCAGCACACCGAGUGGUGCAUUAAGGACAUAAGCCUUCUGCGCAGCAAUGAGGACGAUCCUCAGUUUUACGGACUCAGACCGCAAAUUUGCUACUAUCAACUUUCAACUAAAUUUUCUCGAGGAACAUAUAAAAACAGUAGAGCUAUAGCGCAAGCUACAUCGUAAUUUGCAAAGACCAUUAGACAAUGUUCAUGAUAAUUAGUUCAAUUAAUCAUAUUACUUAAGAACUCCCACUCAAAAAGUACAUCUCUCUAGUCAUUUGAGUGGUACAUGAUCCAAAUCCACUAACUCAAGUCCGAUCAUCACGUGAGUUGAGUAUAGCUUCAGUGGUAAGCAUCUCUAUGCUAAUCAUAUCAACUAUAUGAUUCAUGCUCGACCUUUCGGUCUCUUGUGUUCCGAGGCCAUGUCUGCACAUGCUAGGCUCGUCAAGUUUAACCCGAGUGUUCCGCGUGUGCAACUGUUUUGCACCCGUUGUAUGUGAAUGUUGAGUCUAUCACACCCNNNNNNNNNNNNNNNNNNNNNNNNNNNNNNNNNNNNNNNNNNNNNNNNNNNNNNNNNNNNNNNNNNNNNNNNNNNNNNNNNNNNNNNNNNNNNNNNNNNNUAUAUUUGAGUCUUUGCUGAUUUCUUAUAUGCAUGAUUUGAUAUCCUUGUAAGUCUCUCCGAGUCUUGGGUUUUGUUUGGCCAACUAGAUCUAUGAUUCUUGCAAUGGGAGAAGUGCUUGGUUUUGGGUUCAUACUGUGGGGUGACCUUUCCUAGUGACAGAAGGGGCGGCAAGGCACGCAUCGUGUUGUUGCCAUCAAGGGUAACAAGAUGGGCUUUCAUCAUAGAUUUGAGAUUGUCCAUCUACAUCAUGUCAUCUUGCUUAAGGCGUUACUCUAUUCUUAUGAACUCAAUACACUAGAUGCAUGCUGGAUAGCGGUCGACAUGUGGAGUAAUAGUAGUAGAUGCAGAAAGUAUCGGUCUACUUGUUUUGGACGUGAUGCCUAUAGAUAUGAUCAUUGCCAUAGAUAACGUCAUGACUUUGCGUGGUUCUAUCAAUUGCUCGACAGUAAUUCGUUCACCCACCGUCUACUUGCUUUCAUGAGAGAAGCCACUAGUGAACACUACGUCCCCCUGGUCUAUUCACAACUAUCAUCUCAGCUUUUACUUUUACUUUGCUUUGUUUACUUUUGCUUUCAGUUCUCACUUUACAAACAAUAUAUAAGGGAUUGAUAACCCCUUCAUAGCGUUGGGUGCAAGCUCUUUGUGUUUGUGCACGUACUUGUGACUUGACACGAUCCUCCUACUGGAUUGAUACCUUAGUUCUCAAACUGAGGGAAAUACUUACCGCCGCUGUGCUACAUCACCCUUUCCUCUUCAAGGGAACACCAACGCAAGGCUCCAAGGCCGCGGGGGAAUCCUUAGCAUAUUUUCCAAGGAAAUCCCUAUAGGCAUAGCCAACAGCAGAAGGAUUUCUGGCGCCGUUGCCGGGAAAGGUCUUUUGUUGCAGCAGCAGACAUCAAGCAUUUUUCUGGCGCCGUUGUCGGGGAGGCUAGGUAAGCGGCACUCACCUCCCCUCAACGAAGCAUUUUUCUGGCGCCGUUGCCGGGGAGGUUAACGCUUGAAGGUAUAUCUUUAGAUCUUGCAAUCGAAUCUUUUUGUUUCUUGUUCUUUCGCUAGAAAACUACACAAAAAAUGGAAUUGAGGACGCCUCAUAUGCUCCAUCUUUUCAAUGUCUUUCAUGAGCAUGAUGGGAAGGAAAAUUGUGCUCAAGUGCUGAAACAAGAAUGUCAUAGAAUGCUUGGCAUAGAAUAUGUGAAUGAUGAGCAUGAUUGCAAUGUUCUUAGCAUGAAUUCUUUGAAUACCCAUGAUGCUAAUGAUAUGCAAAGCCACAAGCUUGGGGAUGCUAUAUUUGAUGAAGAUGAUCUUUUUAGUUCUUCCACUUUGAAUGAUCAAAAUUAUUUUGAUGAAAGCAUGCCCCCUAUCUAUGAUGAUUAUUGUGAGGAUACUUAUGCUUUAAAUAAGAGGGAUGAUAAAACUUGUCAUACUCUCGAGAACCCCUUUGCUAAACCUUGCUUUUUCAUAGUGGACACAAUUUGUAGUGCUCAAGUCUUUUACGAUACUCCCACUACUAUUCUUGAGAAUAGAUUUCCUUAUGUGGAGAGUAGUAAAAUUCCUAUGUUUUUAGAUCAUGAAAAGAAAGCCUUAGGUGCUGGUUAUAUUGUUGAAUUCAUUCAUGAUGCUACUGAAAAUUACUAUGAGAGAGGAUCAUAUGCUUCUACUUAUUGCAAUAGUAUCAAGCUUCCUCUCCAUGUGUUGAAAUUUUUGAAGCUAUGCUUGUUUUGCCUUCCUGUGCUAGUUAAUUCUUGCUCCAAUAAAUUGUUUUAUCAAAAAAUCUCUAUGCAUAGGAAGUGGGUUAGACUUAAAUGUGCUAGCCAUAUGCUCCAUGAUGCUCUUGUUGUGUUUCAAUCCUUACCUUUUAUGUGAGCAUCAUUGAAAUCAAUGCCUAGCUAAGUGUGUUAAACGAUAGCGCUUGUUGGGAGGCAACCCAAUGAAUUUAUUUUUUAUUUUUGAUUUCUGUUUUUAUUUUUACACACCAUCAUAAUUCUGUUAUGAUUGUGUUUUUCGUGUUUUAAUUAGCGUUUGUGCCAAGUAAAGCCUUUAUGAUAGCUUGGGUGAUAGUUGUUUGAUCAUGCUGGAAAAAGACAGAAACUUUCUGCUCACGAAAUUAUUUUUCAUUUCUAUCCAGAAAGAGAUUUUGAUUUUAUUAUUUUUUCUUCUGAUUUAUAUAAAAAUUUCCCUUACUGUCGUAAUUUUUCAGAAUUGUUGGAGUUGCAGAAGUACGGUGAUCAUUCAGAUCAUUACAGACUGUUUUGUUUUUGACAUAUUCUGUUUUCAAUGCAUAGUUUGCUUGUUUUGGUGUUUCCAUAGAUUAUUUUGAGUAAUAUAAAUUGUGGAAAUAGUAAGAUACAGUAGGCAUUGUGUGAAAAUAAUUAUGAGUCUUGUUUUUACAAUACCCAAGUGAUUGAUUUUCUCGUUAUCAUACUAACCCAUCUCACGAAGUUUCGUUAAGUUUUGUGUUGUGAAGUUUUCAAGUUUUGGGUAGAGUUUCGAUGGGCUAUGGAACAAGGAGUGGCAAGAGCCUAAGCUUGGGGAUGACCAAGGCAUCCCAAGCCAUAUUCAAGGAUACCAAAAAGCCUAAUCUUGGGGAUGCCCCGGGAAGGCAUCCCCUCUAUCGUCUUCAAUCCAUCGACAACUUUACUUGGGGCUAUAUUUUUAUUCACCACAUGAUAUGUGUUUUGCUUGGAGCGUCAUUUUAUUUUGUUAGAAUAAGUUACUUAGGAUCUGAAAUUCUUAGAUGGGAGAGUCUUCACAUAGCCAAAUAGUUGUUCAACUACUCUUUGAUCUUCACGUAUAUCUUUUGGAGUAGUUUGUCUUUUGCUCUAGUGCUUCACUUAUAUCUUUGUAGAGCAUUGCAAUAGCUAUAUUUUAUAGAAAUAGUUGAACUCUCGUGCUUCACUUAGAUCAUUUUGAGAGUCUUAAACAGCAUGGUAAUUGAUGUGUGCUAUGAAAGUAGUCCCAAAUGUGAUAGGUACCCAAAGAGGAUACAAAAACCUCCAUCUUCAUGUGCAUUGAAUAGGAAGAGAAGUUUUGAUUCCUCUCAAUUGGUUUUGAGAUAUGGAUAUGGUAAUAUUAAGAGUUAUGUUAGUAGGGUGUUGUGAAUCUAGAAAUANNNNNNNNNNNNNNNNNNNNNNNNNNNNNNNNNNNNNNNNNNNNNNNNNNNNNNNNNNNNNNNNNNNNNNNNNNNNNNNNNNNNNNNNNNNNNNNNNNNNNNNNNNNNNNNNNNNNNNNNNNNNNNNNNNNNNNNGGAAGUCGGAGCAUAAUUGAUCUACUGAUUGUCAUCCUUUGUGUUGAGGUUGGGAUCGCGCGAUGGUUAACAACUACCAACCCUUCCCCUAGGAGUAUGCGUUUAGCACUUUGUUUUGAUUACUAAUAAAAACUUUCGCAACAAGUAUGUGAGUUCUUUAUGACUAAUGUGAGUCCAUGGAUUAUACGCACUUUCACCCUUCCACCAUUGCUAGCUUCUCUAGUACCGCGCAACUCUCGCCGGUGCACAAACCACCAUAUUCCUUCCUCAAAACAUCCACCAUACCUACCUACUAUGGCAUUUUCACAGCCAUUCCGAGAUAUAUUGACAUGCAACCUUCACCGUUCCGUCUCAUGACUUGUGCCAUCAUUGUCAUAUUGCUUUGCAUGAUCAUAAGAUAGCUAGCAUGAUGUUUUCAUGGCUUGCCCAUUUUUUUGAUGUCAUUGCUACACUAGAUCAUUGCACGGAGGCAUUUCCUAUGGAGUCAUCCUUGUUCUAAGCUUUGAGCUGUGAGUAAAUAAAAGUGUGAUGAUCAUCAUUAUUAGAGCAUUGUCCCAUGUGAGGAAAUAAAAAAAAGAGGCCAAAGAGCCCAAAUAAAAAAAGAGGCCUAAGAGCCCAAAUAAAAAAAAGGGGAGAAAAGAGAGAAAAAGAGAGAAGGGACAAUGCUACUGUCUUUUUCCACAUGUGUGCUUCAUGAUAGCACCAUGUUCUUCAUGAUUGAGAGCUUCUUGCUUUGUCACUACCACAUGCUAGUGGGAAUCUUCAUUAUAUAACUUGGCUUGUAUAUUCCAAUGAUGGGCUUCCUCAAAAUUGCCCUAGGUCUUCGUGAGCAAGCAAGUUGAAUGCACACCCACUAGUUCUACUUUUGAGCUUUCACAUACUUAUAGCUCUAGUGCAUCUCUUGUAUGGCAAUCCCUACUCAUUCACAUUGAUAUCUAUUAAUGGGCACCUCCAUAGACUUUUAAUACGCCGAGUCAAUGUGACCAUCUCCUCCUUUUUGUCUCACAACCACCACCACACUCUAUUCCACCUAUAGUGCUAUAUCCAUGGCUCGCGCUCAUGUAUUUCGUGAUAGUUAUAAAAAGUUUGAGAAAGUAAGAGUGCGAAAACAAUUANNNNNNNNNNNNNNNNNNNNNNNNNNNNNNNNNNNNNNNNNNNNNNNNNNNNNNNNNNNNNNNNNNNNNNNNNNNNNNNNNNNNNNNNNNNNNNNNNNNNAGGCUUGUGGCCUCCCUAGCGCUCCCCUGCCGUAGCUCUUUGGCCUAUAUAUUCCCUAAAAUCCCAGAAAAAAUCAGGGCGUCCACGAAACCACUUUUCUGCUGCCGCAAGCUUCCGUUUCCACGAGAUCUCAUCUGGAGACCCUUCCCGGUGCCCUGCCGGAGGGGACUUUGGAGCUGGAGGGCUUCUACAUGAACAUCAUUGCCUCUCCAAUGACUCGUGAGUAGUCUACUUCAGACCUAUGGGGCCGUAGUUAGUAGCUAGAUGGCUUCUUCUCUUUCUUGGAUCUUCAAUACAAAGUUCUCCAUGAUCUUCAUGGAGAUCUAUCAGAUGUAAUCCCUAUUUGGCGGUGUGUUUGUCGAGAUCCGCUGAAUUGUGGAUUUGUGAUCAGAUUAUCUAUGAAUUAUAUUUGAGUCUUUGCUGAUUUCUUAUAUGCAUGAUUUGAUAUCCUUGUAAGUCUCUCCGAGUCUUGGGUUUUGUUUGGCCAACUAGAUCUAUGAUUCUUGCAAUGGGAGAAGUGCUUGGUUUUGGGUUCUACCAUGUGGCGACCUUUGCCAGUGACAGUAGGGGUAGCAAGGCACACAUCAAGUAGUUGCCAUCAAGGGUAAAAAGAUGGGGUUUNNNNNNNNNNCGUGCGGUGACCUUUCCCAGUGACAGAAGGGGCAGAAAGGCACGCAUCAUGUUGUUGCCAUCAAGGGUAACAAGAUGGGCUUUCAUCAUAGAUUUGAGAUUGUCCAUCUAUAUCAUGCCAUCUUGCUUAAGGCAUUACUCUGUUCUUAUGAACUCAAUACACUAGAUGCAUGCUGGAUAGCGGUCGACGUGUGGAGUAAUAGUNNNNNNNNNNGUUCUUAUGGACUUAAUACACUAGAUGCGUGCUGGAUAGCGGUCGACGUGUGGAGUAAUAGUAGUAGAUGCAGAAAGUAUCGGUCUACUUGUUUCGGACAUGAUGACUAUAGAUAUAAUCAUUGCAUAGAUAUCGUCACGACUUUGCGUGGUUCUAUCAAUUGCUCGACAGUAAUUUGUUCACCCACUGUCUACUUGCUUUCAUGAGAGAAGCCACUAGUAAACACUACGGCCCCCGNNNNNNNNNNNNNNNNNNNNNNNNNNNNNNNNNNNNNNNNNNNNNNNNNNNNNNNNNNNNNNNNNNNNNNNNNNNNNNNNNNNNNNNNNNNNNNNNNNNNCAUCUUACUUACGCAAACACCACAACGGAGAUAUAUGAGUUGCUAUUUAACCUCAUCCAAGGACCUCCUCGGUCAAAUCCGAUUCAACUAAAGUUGGAGAAACCGUCACUUGCCAGUCAUCUUUGAGCAAAGGGGGUUACUCGUAACGAUGAAACCAGUCUCUCGUAAGCGUACGAGUAAUGUCGGUCCAAGCCGCUUCAAUCCAACAAUGCCGCGGAAUCAAGACAAGACUAAGGAGGGCAGCAAAACGCACAUCACCGCCCACAAAAACUUUUGUGUUCUACUCGAGAAGACAUCUACGCAUGAACCUAGCUCAUGAUGCCACUGUUGGGGGAACGUCGCAUGGGAAACAAAAAUUUUCCUACGCGCACGAAGACCUAUCAUGGUGAUGUCCAUCUACGAGAGGGGAUGAGUGAUCUACGUACCCUUGUAGAUCGUACAGCAGAAGCGUUAGAGAACGCGGUUGAUGUAGUGGAACGUCCUCACGUCCCUCGAUCCGCCCCGCGAACAAUCCCGCGAUCAGUCCCACGAUCUAGUACCGAACGGACGGCACCUCCGCGUUCAGCACACGUACAGCUCGACGAUGAUCUCGGCCUUCUUGAUCCAGCAAGAGAGACGGAGAGGUAGAAGAGUUCUCCGGCAGCGUGACGGCGCUCCGGAGGUUGGUGAUGAUCUUGUCUCAGCAGGGCUCCGCCCGAGCUCCUCAGAAAUGCGAUCUAGAGGAAAAACUAUGGAGGUAUGUGGUCGGGCAGCCGUGAGAAAGUCGUUUUAAAUCAGCUCUAAAACCUCUGUAUAUAUAGGUGGGAGGGAGGGGAGGAGGCAGCCUCAAAACCUAAAGGUUUGGCCGAAAUUGGAGGUGGAGGAGUGCUACUCCAAUCCUACUUGGAGUAGGAUUCCACCUUCCCACUUGGAAACUCUUUCCACCUUGUGUUUUUUCCUUCUCAAACCUUAUGGGCCUUAGUGGGAACUUAUUCCAGCCCACUAGGGGCUGGUUUAUCUCUUCCCAUAGCCCAUGAGACCCCUUGGGGCGUCACACCCCUCCCGAUGGUCCCCGACACCCCUCCCGGCACUCCCGGUACACUACCGAUGAGCCCGAAACUUUUCCGGUAAUGCACGAAAACCUUCCGGUAACCAAAUGAGGUCAUCCUAUAUAUCAAUCUUCGUUUCCGGACCAUUCCGGAAACCCUCGUGACGUNNNNNNNNNNAUUUUGUUUCCCAUGCGACGUUCCCCAACAAAGCUAACAGUGUAUAUUUCGCAAAGGCCUGGCAAAAAAGCAUAUAACCAAGAAAGUCAAACCAUAAAGUCUUCGUAGAAUAUGUAGGAUCCAAUAUGGGCAUCCAGGUCCAUAUUGAAUAUGAUAAGGUCUUCGUAGAAUAUGUAGAAUAUAUAUCAAUCUUCGUUUCCGGACCAUUCCGGAAACCCUCGUGACGUCCGUGAUCUUAUCCGGGACUCCGAACAACAUUCGGUAACCAACCAUAUAACUCAAAUACGCAUAAAACAACGUCGAACCUUGAGUGUGCAGACCCUGCGGGUUCGAGAACUAUGUAGACAUGACCCGAGAGACUCCUCGGUCAAUAUCCAAUAGCGGGACCUGGAUGCCCAUAUUGGAUCCUACAUAUUCUACGAAGACUUUAUCGUUUGAACCUCAGUGCCAAGGAUUCAUAUAAUCACGUAUGUCAUUCCCUUUGUCCUUCGGUAUGUUACUUGCCCGAGAUUCGAUCGUCAGUAUCCGUCUACCUAUUUCAAUCUCGUUUACCGGCAAGUCUCUUUACUCGUUCCGUAAUACAAGAUCACGCAACUUACACUAAGUUACAUUGCUUGCAAGGCUUGUGUGUGAUGUUGUAUUACCGAGUGGGCCCCGAGAUACCUUUCCGUCACACGGAGUGACAAAUCCCAGUCUUGAUCCAUACUAACUCAACUAACACCUUCGGAGAUACCUGUAGAGCAUCUUUAUAGUCACCCAGUUACGUUGCGACGUUUGAUACACACAAAGCAUUCCUCCGGUGUUAGUGAGUUAUAUGAUCUCAUGGUCAUAGGAAUAAAUACUUGACACGCAGAAAACAGUAACAACAAAAUGACACGAUCAACAUGCUACGUCUAUUAGUUUGGGUCUAGUCCAUCAUGUGAUUCUCCUAAUGACGUGAUCCAGUUAUCAAGCAACAACACUUUGUUCAUAAUCAAAAGACAGUGACUAUCUUUGAUCAACUGGUUAGCCAACUAGAGGCUUGCUAGGGACGGUGUUUUGUCUAUGUAUCCACNNNNNNNNNNGCAACAAAAUGACACGAUCAACAUGCUACGUCUAUUUGUUUGGGUCUAGUCCAUCACGUGAUUCUCCUAAUGACGUGAUCUAGUUAACAAGCAACAACACCUUGUUCAUAAUCAGAAGACACUGACUAUCUUUGAUCAACUGGCUAGCCAACUAGAGGCUUGCUAGGGACGGUGUUUUGUCUAUGUAUCCACACAUGUAAAUGAGUCUUCAUUCAAUACAAUUAUAACAUGGAUAAUAAACGAUUAUCUUGAUACAAGAAUUAUAAUAAUAACUAUAUUUAUUAUUGCCUCUAGNNNNNNNNNNNNNNNNNNNNNNNNNNNNNNNNNNNNNNNNNNNNNNNNNNNNNNNNNNNNNNNNNNNNNNNNNNNNNNNNNNNNNNNNNNNNNNNNNNNNAUAGGUCUGAAGUGAACUACUCACGAGUCAUUGGAGGGGCGAUGAUGAUGAUGAAGAAGCCCUCCAACUCCAAAGUCCCCUUCGGCAGGGCGCUGGGAACGGUCUCCAGAUGAGAUCUCGCGGAAACGGAAGCUUGUGGCGGCGGAAAAGUAUUUUCGAGGCUCCCCUGAUUUUUUGCGGUGUAUUUGGAAUUUAUAGGCCAAAGACCUAGGUCAGGGGGCGGCCAGGGCGGCCACAAGCCUGCCCACCGCCGCCUCCCCCCUGGUGGCAGAGUGGGGGCUUNNNNNNNNNNNNNNNNNNNNNNNNNNNNNNNNNNNNNNNNNNNNNNNNNNNNNNNNNNNNNNNNNNNNNNNNNNNNNNNNNNNNNNNNNNGGGCUCCCUGGAGCCCACCUGGCUUGGCCCAAAAGCCCCAUGGUAUUCUUCCUUUCAGGAAAAAAUCAUUUCAGGGUUUUUCUUCCGUUUGGACUCCGUUCCAAAAUCAGAUCUCAAAAGAGUCAAAAACACGGAAAAAAACUGGAACUGGCACUUGGCACUGAAUUAAUAAGUUAGUCCCAAAAAAGAUAUAAAAGGUACAUAAAACUACCAAAUAAGACAAGAUAACAGCGUGAAACCAUCAAAAAUUAUAGAUACUUUGAGAUGUAUCACAUGUCAAGCGAUGAAACCAGUCUUUCGUAAGCGUAUGAAUAAUGUCGGUUCGGGCCGCUUCAAUCCAACAAUACCCCCGAAUAGAGAAAAGACUAAGGAGGGCAUCAAAUCGAACAUCACCGUCCCCAAAACCAUUUGUGUUCUACUUGAGAUAACAUCUAUGCAUCAACCUAGCUCAUGAUGCCACUGUUGGGAAACAUCGCAUGGGAAACAAAAAAUUUCCUACGCACACGAAGACCUAUCAUGGUCAUGUCCAUCUACGAGAGGAGAGUUGGAUCUACGUACCCUUGUAGAUUGCACAGCAGGAAGCGUUAAGAAACGCAGUUGAUGUAGUGGAACGUCCUCACGUCCCUCGAUCCGCCCCGCGAUCCAUCCCACGAUCCGCUACGAUCUAGUGCCGAACGGACGGCACCUCCGUGUUCGGCACACAUACAGGUCGACGAUGAUCUCGGCCUUCUUGAUCCAGCAAUCAAGACAGAGAAGUAGAUGAGUUCUCCGGCAGCAUGACAGUGCUCCGGUGGUGGUGAAGGAUCUACUCCUGCAGGGCUCCGCCCGAGCUCCGCAGAAAUACAAUCUAGAGGAAAAACCGCGGUGUUUGUGGUCGGGCUGUCGUGGCAAAAGUUGUCUCAAAUCAGCCCUAAAACACCAGUAUAUAUAGGAGGGAGGGGGAGGGACUUGCCUUGAGGGCCAAACCCUCAAGGUGCGCCGGCCAAGGGGAGGAGUAGGACUCCUACUCCAAUCCUAGUCAAAAUAGGAUUGGAAAGUGGAGUCCUCCUCUUCCUUCCCACCUUUUUUUUCUUUCUUUGGUUUUUUUGCUUAUGGCGCAUAGGCCUUAUUGGGCUGUCCCACCAGCCCACUAAGGGCUAGUGCACCACCCAUAAGUCCUUUCGGCUUCCCCCGGGAGGGUUGCCCCCCCUCCCGGUGAACUUCCGGAACCCAUUCGUCACUCCGGGUACAUUCCCGGUAAUGCCUGAAAACUUUCCGGUAACCAAAUGAAUUCAUCCUAUAUAUCAAUCUUCAUCUCCGGACCAUUCCGGAAACCCUCGUGACGUUUGUGAUCUCAUCCAGGACUCCGAACAACAUUCGGUAACCACGCAUAUAACUCAACUGUACUAAAACAUUGCCGAACCUUAAGUGUGCAGACCCUGCAGGUUCGAGAACUAUGUAGACAUGCCCCGAGGUACUCCUCGGUCAAUAUCCAAUAGCGGGACCUGGAUGCCAUAUUGGAUCCUACAUAUUCUCCGAAGUUCUUAUCGGUUGAACCUCAGUGUCAAGGAUUCAUAUAAUCCCGUAUGUCAUUCCUUUUGUCCUUCGGUAUGUUACUUGCCCGAGAUUCGAUCGUCGGUAUCCGCAUACCUAUUUCAAUCUCGUUACCGGCAAGUCUNNNNNNNNNNCCGAAGAUCUUAUUGGUUGAACCUCAGUGUCAAGGAUUCAUAUAAUCCCGUAUGUCAUUUCUUUUGUCCUUCGGUAUGUUACUUGCCCGGGAUUUGAUCGUCGGUAUCCGCAUACCUAUUUCAAUCUCGUUACCGGCAAGUCUCUUUACUCGUUCCGUAAUACAAGAUCCUGUGACUUAAACUUAGUNNNNNNNNNNNNNNNNNNNNNNNNNNNNNNNNNNNNNNNNNNNNNNNNNNNNNNNNNNNNNNNNNNNNNNNNNNNNNNNNNNNNNNNNNNNNNNNNNNNNUGGAGGGGUAAUCAAUCUCCGGUGCCAUCUUCAUCAUCCCGGCGAUGUCCAUGACGAGGAGGGAGUAGUUCUCCCUCGGGGCUGAGGGUAUAUACCAGUAGCUAUGUGUUUGAUCUCUGUGUCUCGUGUUCUUGAGAUGUUUUGAUCUCGAUGUACCGUGGGCUUUGCUACUAUAGUUGGAUAUUAUGAUAUUCUUCCCCCUCUCCCUUCUUCUAGUGAAUUGAGUUUCCCCUUUGAAGUUAUCUUAUCGGAUUGAGUCUUUGAUAACACUUUAUGUAUGUCGUGCACGUGUCUAUCUGCGGUGAUCAACUUGCGGGUUUGUCACAUUGGGAACCUAUGCAUAUGGGUUGGUACACGUUUGAUUCAUGUGAGUACUCGAUGUAUGUUUUGGUGAUCAACUUGCGGGUUCGUGACAUUGGGAACCUAUGCAUAGGGGUUGGCACACGUUUUGACUCUCCGGUAGAAACGCACUCUUUGAAGUUGUAUGUGUUGGUUGAAUAGAUGAUUCUCGGAUUGUGUGAUGCAUAUCGUAUAAUCAUGACCGCGGAUACUUGAGUUGACAAUGGAGUAUCUAGGUGACAUUAGGGUCUUGGUUGAUAUGUAUCUUAAGGUGUUAUUCUAGUACGAACUCUUGAAUAGAUCGAUCAGAAAGAAUAACUUUGUGGUGGUUUCGUACCCGACAAUAAUCUCUUCGUUUGUUCUCCGCUAUUAGUGACUUUGGAAUGACUCUUUGUUGCAUGUUGAGGGCUAGUUCUAUGAUCCAAUUAUGUUAUCAUUGUUGAGAGAACUUCACUAGUGAAAGUAUGAACCCUAGGCCUUGUUUCCACUCAUUGCAAUACCGUUCGUGCUCACUUUUGUUACUAGUUACCUUGCUGUUUUUGUAAUUUCAGAUUACAAAAACCUAUAUCUACCAUCCAUAUUGCNNNNNNNNNNNNNNNNNNNNNNNNNNNNNNNNNNNNNNNNNNNNNNNNNNNNNNNNNNNNNNNNNNNNNNNNNNNNNNNNNNNNNNNNNNNNNNNNNNNNACCGCCGCAACCAACAGCCAACAGAGCUCGCCUCCUCUCCCCGCCGGAGCGCCAAGAAACCCCUCGCACCCACCUCUCGCCACCGCGCAGCAGCGCGCGCCCACCGCCGGCGAGCGAUGGACAGGUUCCACGACGGGCAGCACGUGUGGCUGNNNNNNNNNNNNNNNNNNNNNNNNNNNNNNNNNNNNNNNNNNNNNNNNNNNNNNNNNNNNNNNNNNNNNNNNNNNNNNNNNNNNNNNNNNNNNNNNNNNNNNNNNNNNNNNNNNNNNNNNNNNNNNNNNNNNNNNNNNNNNNNNNCGCCUCGCUCAAGGCGGCCUGGACGGUGCACAUCCACCAGGGCGACGUGCCGUACCUGCUCCUCCACAGCGCCGCCUACGGCCGCUACCUCGCCGCCAACGGGCCCCGCGCCGAGCAGCGCCACUACGACGAGCCGGAGGUGCUGCAGGCCAUCAUGUGGCAGGCCUUCCAGACGGGCAUCGGCGACGAGGUCGUGCUCCGCAACGUCGGCGGNNNNNNNNNNNNNNNNNNNNNNNNNNNNNNNNNNNNNNNNNNNNNNNNNNNNNNNNNNNNNNNNNNNNNNNNNNNNNNNNNNNNNNNNNCUCCGCGCCAACCGCAGGCACCUCAGCUGGAACACCGGCGGCGUCAGCGUCGAGGACACCGACAACGCCGGCACCAUGAUGUGCUGGACCGUCCAGCCCAUCCCCGCCCGAGAGGCAGGCAUGCCUGACCUUCCUGCCCCGCCCGUGAGUUCGCCAUGACCAGCCUCUCGAAUUGCCAGAUUUCAUUCGCUCUACGACUCUAGAGCAAUUCCUCAUCUGUUCUUGCCAAAUUUGCGCUUCUCCUGACGAUUCCGGUUCCUCAACAUAACCUGCAACUCAACUGCAGAACCACUUCAUGUACACCGUGCUCGGCCAGGCGUGGCGGCUGAUCGAGUUCGUGCGAGCGAACGCCGAGGGGCUCUACGACGAGGACGACUGGCACAUGUUCGCUCUCAGGGGGAGGUACGUGAACCACCUGAGGAACGAGCUGGCCGACCGCAUCGCCUUCAUGGACGGCCAUGAACCCGACGGCAUCGCCAUGUGCAUCCGGGCGGGCCGCUACGGGAGGCCGACUCCACUCGUCGUCGACCUGCCCCGCUACACUGGCGGCCCCNNNNNNNNNNNNNNNNNNNNNNNNNNNNNNNNNNNNNNNNNNNNNNNNNNNNNNNNNNNNNNNNNNNNNNNNNNNNNNNCCGAGACCCACCAGAUUGUUGUGAUGAUGUCCGGGACCCCUGGUGAGAGCCUCUCCCCAUGCCACACCGAGACCCACCAUAUUGUCUUGAUUGAUUUUGUUUUGCAAAAUGUACAGAUUUUGCUGCAUGGCUAAUCUGCUUGUGCUUGAAAAAUUGUUCACUGAAACUGUUAUAAUCUGAGAAACAGUUUACUGAAAUUGUUCUAGUCUGAAUUUUUUUUAACAGAAACUGUUGUAGUCUGAAACUUGUUAGGUGUUGGGAAUUAUCUCCAACUGCAGUAAUCUUGUAGAUAAAUGAAAGACGGUCUGUGGCAAGUUGGUUAUUUGGGGGGAAAUCAUUAUUGGAACUUAAAAGUCCAAAUCAGUUGAUUCAUGAUUCAUCUCUUUUCAGCCUUCACAGAGAAGAUGGUGAUAUCCGUUUGAUUUCGCCCAUUUUACUUGGAUUGAAUAACCUGUGAACAAACUUUAGGUUCCAACAAAACAACACUAAGCUAAAUAUAUUUAUAUAUUUUUGCAUAACUCUGAAAUUUAGAUUGUUCAUGUGCUCCCUACUGAUCUUCUUUAUCGAGAAACAUACUGUUGGACUCGAAUCUGUUAUGCACAAUGCACAGAUGUUGGUGUAGAUACUAUUUUGCUGCAUGACCAUGAUAUUAGUGGAGUGCUAAUCUGAUAUUAUGAUGUGCUUGUCUUUGGGACUUAUCUGAAACUGCUGUAGUCUUGUACAAAAUGGUAAAAGUAGGUGUCAUGUGGAAUUAUCAGUCUGUUUUUGAUUCAGAUAGUUCAGUUCUGUCUUUGAUUCAGAUAAUUCAGUUCGUCCAUUUGGUAACAUUUGCCACUAUUAGAAUUAUGGACCCUAAAAGGGCAAAUCAUGUCCAGUCAUCUCAUUUCUCCUUUGCAGAGAAGACACUGAUUUUCUAACCCAUGAAUAAAAUUCAGGUAGUAUCUUACAAUAGGGAAUAAAAAGCUCACAAUAUUGUUUCUGGCUUUGUCUUGUUUACAUCAUUGUUGAUUAUUGUUCUGCGGCCUAACUGGUUCAUACUUUCUGCUGAUUCAGCGUACGAUGAGCUGCGAUACCCUGAUGUCAACGCAAUAUAGAGAAAGCUCAGAGCGGGAGGACACCUUUUCAUAGGUCGCGCCACCUCGGACACGAUGACAGCAGAACUGGAUACCUACGUUUGCCUGUAGACACAUAGAUAUAGGUUCAGAAAACUCAGCAGCUCUCGUGCUUCUUCGGCUAGCUAAACUUGGUGAAAAUGUUGCGUCCAAUUGCUGAACAACACUGUAGUGAUGAUGGUUGUAGUAGUCGUUUUAGCGCUGCUCUUUUGACAUUCAUCUCUCUGACGUGAUAUUGCCACUGCUUCAGAGCAUUUCACUGUAGUUUUUUUUUUUCUGCAAUGAGUUGAUUCUGCAGUUUAUUCAGAUCAUGCAUUCCGCAUAACUGGAAAUUGCGGUGGUUUUGCAGUGAGUUGAUGAUCCUGCAUUCCUGCAUCCCUUUUGUACUAUGCAUUUCUCUUAGAUAAAGCAUCUGAUAUGGUUGUUCUUGCUGUUAGUUGGGCAGUGAGUUGAUGAUCAUGCAGUGAGUUGAUGAUCCUGCAUUCCUUUUGUAACUUGAGUUUAGAUGUCGUUCCUUGCUGUGAUUUGGAGGUUUCUGCUGAGUUCUCUUCUACGCGAUGGAUUACGACGGCUUCACCUACAUUGUCAAAUGAAGGAAAAAUUCCAAAUGUUCUAGUUCGUAUAUACAAUCAGAUUAUGAGAAUGUAAGUAGUGUCCUCCCGUUUCUUUAUGCACUGAAUUUAAAGGGUUGUGUUGCUUGGCAAAGGUGUAUCAGCAAAAUCAUGUCCCGUGGCAUUGCACUGCUCCUUCAGUUUUUUGUCAGCUAUAUGGUCACCUACAACAAUAAGUUACACACUUCCAACCGGGAAGUUACAAUUUUGUUUUGAACAGAGAUGGAACUUGAAAUUUUAUUCCAGUAGAUCAUAUUACGGAGAUGACAGCAUAUUACACACCCGCACACAUGCAAGAGAACCCGGGCUUCGAAUCGAAUUAUCGAAAGAAAGAGAACUUACCGGUAACUGCAUGCUUCGGAGAGCGUCUCAUGCAGUGAGUGCAUGAACUGCAGGUGUUGCUGCUUCUCCUGGUGUAAUGGUGUAGGUCAAGGACACUUCUAGCAAGUUCCUGUACUCACAAACAUUCUUGUUCCUAGGACCAGUACACUACAACCAGCAGCCAAAGGCCCGUGAAAGAGCCCGGGUUGACCCUUUAAUCCGCAUAAUAUACAUAGAACAUAUUUCAUAAUAGACAACUGAAACCCCGUUGAUUAGAAUUCAGAACCUGAAUCCUUCAUUUCAAUGGCGAGAAAUGACGAACUACUACAUCGCAAAGGAACCCCCAACAAGAGUAUUUGGACCAAAGCCCGCGAACAUUGGCAAUUCCACGGAGACAAGCCAUGCCAUAAAGACCACCCAAGAGACUAAUGAGUAAUGACCAUCCAUCAAGCAGUUGUGGACGCCUUUCGUGUGGCGACACUCUUCUUUCUUUUGCUCCUCAGAGGCUUCUCCACAAUAGUCUUCCCAGAUCCAGGGCAGGGCUAACGUCCUCCAAAUGUGCUAGCAAGCUAAGAAGUUGUAUCUCGAAGAGAAUCUCGUCAAUCUUGUCCUUCAUUGAUACCACCGACAUGAACAUCCUCAGUCACGGGUACCGCCGCCACAACGAACUCGGACCCCUCCGGUUGCUCACAUGGUGGACCCUGCAAUUGUGCCUUGGAAUUAGGUGCCAACACACUAACCUCAUCAACCUCGCCAUCCAUAGACACCACCUGCCUCAUCUUGUUCAAAGGCGUCGUCAAGGCCCCUGGCAAGCCCAUCUCCCGCUGAAGCAGUAAACCAUCAAUAUUCGCCAUACCAUUGUUUCUCAUGCUCACAUGUAUAUGUACUUAUACAAAAAACAUGUAUAUGUACUUAUACAAAAAAACAAGCACUUCAGAUAUAUUCAAGGUUCAAUGAUUUUUUUUUUGAAUUUUUCAUCAGGGAAGGAGGGGAAAGCCUCUCAACCACCUGAAUAUAUUACGUAAAGGAAAGAGGAGAAAUCCCCAAAUCCCGAGUGAUAGAUUUACACACAGAGAUGAGAAAGCGAGAAGAGCACACACCAGCCAAAGGGAAGGUUGUUAGAUAGAUCUAAGCACGCUGAGCCAAACAUCAAUAUGUGUGUGAUUCGCAGCUUUCAUCCUGGUCCACCACAACACUGUGUCGUCACAACAAGCUUUAAGGGUGGCGGACAGAGAUGGCGAGCCGUCCCGGAAUACCACAGUGAUCCGCCGCUUCCAGAGCCUCCAACAGCAAAGGAGGAUGAAGGUGUACAGAGAGGCGUCGCCUGUGACGCCCUCGAUUUAAUCGUACGCUAAACAUACACGCAAAUGCGUACGACCAAACCCAAGGACUCACGAGAAGAUAUCACAACACAAGUCUAGACACAAAUAAAAUAACAUCAGCUUCAUAUUACAAGCCAGGGGCCUCGAGGGCUAGAAUACGAAAGCUCGAUAAACACACGAGUCAGCGGAAGCAACAGAUAUCUGAGUACAGACAUAAAACAUGGGGUGCCUUAGAGAAGGCUAGCACAAAAGAUACAACGAUCGAACGAGGCGAGGCCUCCUGCCUGGGAACCUUCUAACUACUCCUGAUCAUCAGCGGCCUCCACGUAGUAGUAGGCACCGUCGGGGUAGCAGUCGUCGGCGGCGGGGACCUCCAUCUCCUGGGCUCCAUCAUCUGGUCGCAGCAAACGGAUCAAGGGGACAAGGGGGGAGCAAAGCAGAGGUGAGUACUCAUCCAAAGUACUCGCAAGUCUUACAUCAGAACUAUUCUAAUUAUGCAUCAGUAUCAAAGAAGGGGGUUAUAUGUGGACUGACUGCAGCAAUGCGAGAAUAGAGAGAGAAGGCCUAGUCCUAUCGAAGACUAGCAUCUUCAGGGUCUUGCAGCAAUAGACGAGAGUAGAACAGGGGUAAAACAUAAAUAGUCAUAUUGUUACAGCAAUAUUAAAGUGAGGUCACGCCUAAAGAUCCUCCCUCGACUCCCUGCGAGGAAGCAAUCCCGAGGCAAACUAAUUCCAGUUAAGUAACAAUUGUAGUUGUAAAAGAUCGGGGCACAACUCCAAGUCGUCCUGUAACCGUGGACACGGCUAUCCGAAUAGUUAAUUUCAUCCCUGCAGGGGUGCACCACAUGUCCCGUCACGCUCGAUAACACUCUGGCCGGACAUACUUUUCUGGGUCCUACCCGGCCUCGGAAUAUCGACACGUCGCAGCCCCACCUAAGACUAAUCAGAGAGGCCAGCCCGCCGGUCUAAAUCCUAAGCACAAANNNNNNNNNNNNNNNNNNNNNNNNNNNNNNNNNNNNNNNNNNNNNNNNNNNNNNNNNNNNNNNNNNNNNNNNNNNNNNNNNNNNNNNNNNNNNNNNNNNNNNNNNNNNNNCUUCACGCUCCUGCACGUGGCGUGGGCGGCCGACGUCAGUCCUAGCAUCCCUUAAUCACAAGCGCGAUGCAUCUCAGGACCACUCGGGCGCGCGCCGCUACAUUGCUGGCAUCUGAAAAGCUUCGGCUGAUACCGCGACGCCGAGUACCCAUAAUUCUUCCCGCGUAGCCGGUUAGUGCGAAAAGGUCUCCGACCAACCCAGAUCAAAUACCCAAAUCCAUUAGCAUUUUAAUUAGGCCAGCAACACAGUCUCACGGGAAUCCACCCGUCUUACAACUAAGCACCAAUGAUCCCAGUAACAUGGUCGAGUAACUGUGUGGUUGUAACAUCGGGGGAAUCCGAGGUAUCACCCUCGUUGGAUUCCGAACGAUGUACCCGUCAAGGUGGGCUUAGAGGAAUCACCCUCGGGGGUCCCACACUCGCAGGGUGGCACGACAGAGACGUCAUCGGGAAUGGUGAAAGAGGAAUCACCCUCGAUAACCACGACCGACUAGCUAUACUACAGAGAUAUCAUCAGGAGUACUUAGCGAGGUGUCACCCUCGGUACCCGAUAGUAUCUCUGUAGCGUCGUACAACGAAGGGGGGGUGAAUGUGCUGUGUCGGGUCUGGCUCGUCGAUCAGAGAUCGAGAUUUGAAAACAAGCGGGGCAACUGAUCUACGGGGUCAGAGGGNNNNNNNNNNNNNNNNNNNNNNNNNNNNNNNNNNNNNNNNNNNNNNNNNNNNNNNNNNNNNNNNNNNNNNNNNNNNNNNNNNNNNNNNNNNNNNNNNNNNGAAUCACGAAGAUCUUCAAGUGCUUGGUAUGACUCCCAUUGAAUCUUUGUUUUCUUGUGUCAAACCUAAUGAUGAUGGGGCUAGAUAUGAAUCCACUUUGGUUGAAAAACGCCCCAAUGAUUCAAAGUCCAUCUAUCUUGAUGCUAAAAGCAUUGAAAGUGGAGUAGAAGAUAUUAAAACUUUGAGUAGUAAUGAAAUUACUACUUUGGAUUCCAAAGAAUUCAAUUAUGAUAGUUGCUCCUUGAUUGAGUGCAUUUCCUUGAUGCAAUCCAUGCUAAACUCUCCACAUACUUAUGGCCAAAACAAGGCCUUUACUGAUCAUAUCGUCGAAGCUAUGAUAAAAUCUCUUGAAGAGAAACUAAAAUUGGAAAUCUCUAUCCCUAGAAAGCUUCAUGAUGAGUGGGAACCUACUAUCAAAAUCAAAAUCAAAAACUAUGAAUGCAAUGCUUGGUGUGAUUUGGGUGCUAGUGUUUCCGCGAUUCCAAAGUCUUUAUGUGAUGUUCUGGGUUUUAAUGAGAUUUAAGAGUGUUCUCUUAAUUCGCAUCUUGCGGAUUCUACUGUCAAGAAACCCAUGGGAAGGAUCAAUGAUGUUCUUAUCAUUGCAAAUAGGAACUAUGUACCCGUGGAUUUCAUUGUGCUUGACAUUGAUUGCAAUCCUACAUGCCCUAUCAUUCUUGGUAGACCUUUCCUAAGGACUAUUGGUGCUAUCGUUGAUAUGAAGGAAGGGAAUAUUAGAUUUCAAUUUUAUUUAAAGAAGGCCAUGGAGCACUUUCCUAGAAAGAAAAUAAUAUUUCCUUAUGAAUCCAUGAUGAGGGCUACUUAUGGUUUGAGCACCAAAGACGACGAUACGUGAUUCCAUCACCUUAUGCCUAGCUAAGGGCGUUAAACAAUAGCGUUGUUGGGAGGCAACCCAAUGAAUUUAUUUGUUUUUAUUUCUGUUUUGUUGCGUCCACACCAUCAUAAUUUUGUUAUGAUCGUGUAUUUUGUGUUUCUUUUUUGUGUUUGAGCCAAGCAAAACCUUUAUGACUAGUCUUGGUGAUGGUUGUUUGAUCCUGCUGGAAAAAGACAGAAACUUUUCGCUCACGAGAUUAUUUUUCAUUUUUAUUCCGAAAAAGAUUUUGAUUUGAUUCUUUUUGCUGCUGGUUUAUAUGCCUUUUUCCCAGGCAGUCGUAAUUUUUCAGGAUUUUUGAGGUAAUAGAAGUAUACGAAGUAUACAGAUUGCUACAGACUUGUCUGUUUUUGACAUAUUCUGUUUUUGUUGAGUUGGUUGCUUGUUUUGAUAAACUAUGGAUAGUAUCGGGGGGUACUAGCCAUGGAAAAGUGAGAAUACAGUAGCCUAACACCAAUAUAAAUAGAAAUCUAGAUUGCUACAGUACAUAAAGAGGUGGUAGUUUGUUUUCUUGUGCUAAUGUUAUCAUGAGUUUCUGUUUAAGUUUUGUGUUGUGAAGUUUUCAAGUUUUGGGUGAUGUUCUCAUGGACAAAGAGAUAGGGAGUGGAAAGAGCUCAAGCUUGGGGAUUCCCAAGGCAUACCAAGCCAAAUUCAAGGACACCAAAAAUCCUAAGCUUGGGGAAGCCCCGGGAAGGCAUCCCCUCUUUCGUCUUCAAUCCAUCGGUAACACUACUUGGAGCUAUAUUUUUAUUCACCACAUGAUAUGUGUUUUGAUUGGAGCGUCUUGUAUCGUAGGAGUCUUUUCUUUUUGUUGUGUCACAAUCAUCCUUGCUGCAUGAUACGUCUCCAUCGUAUCUACUUUUUCAAAUUCUUUUGCCCUUGUUUUGGACUCUAAUUUGCAUGAUUUGAAUGGAACUAACCCGGACUGACGCUGUUUUCAGCAGAAUUGCCAUGGUGUUGUUUUUGUGCAGAAAUGAAAGUUCUCGGAACGUCCUGAAAAUUUAUGGAGAAUUUUUCUGGAAAAUAUGAAAAAUACCUGCACAAAGAUCCACCGGAGGGGAUGGGCCAGUGGGCCACAAGCCCUGUUGCCGCGGCCACCCCCCCUGGCCGCGGCAACCAAGCUUGUGGGGCCCACGUGGCUCUGCCGCCCCCAAACUCGGCUCUAUAAAUUCACUUUCGCCCAGAAAAAAAUCAGAAGAGAAGAUUUCAUCGCGUUUGCGAUACGGAGGCGCCGCCACAUCCUGUUCUUCAUCUGGAGCACAGAUCUGGAGUCCGUUUUAGGCUCCGAAUAGGGGAAAUCGUCGCCGUCGUCAUCAUCAACCUCCUUCCCUCUCCAAUUCCAUGAAGCUCUUCAUCAUUCGUGAGUAAUCUAUUUGUAGGCUCGGUGGGCGGUGAUGAGUAGGAUGAGAUCUAUCAUGUAAUCAAGUUAGUUUUGACGGGGAUUGAUCCCUAGUAUCCACUAUGUUCUGAGAUUGAUGUUGCUACUACUUUUCCAUGCUUAAUGCUUGUCACUAGGGCCCGAGUGCCAUGAUUUCAGAUCUGAAAUUAUUAUGUUGUCACCAAUAUAUGUGUGUUUUAGAUCUGAUCUUGCAAGUUGUAGUUACCUACUAUGUGUUAUGACCCGGCAACCCCGGAGUGACAAUAACCGGAACCACUCCCGAUGAUGACCAUAGUUUGAGGAGUUCAUGUGUUCACCUAGUGCUAAUGUGUUGUUCCGGUUCUUUAUUAAAAGGAGAACCUUAAUAUCCUGUAGUCUCCUUUUGGACCCCGCUGCCACGGGAGGGAUGGACAAUAGAUGUCAUGCAAGUUCUUUUCCCUAAGCACGUAUGACUACACACGGAAUGCAUGCCUACAUCACAUUGACGAACGGGAGCUAGCCACAUAUCUCUCCGUGUAAUAACUGUUGCAUGAUGAAUAUCAUCCAAACGAAUCACCGACCUAUUGCCUACGAGUUUGUCCCACUGCUGUUGUUACUUGUUUUGCUCUGCUCCUGUUACUGGUGUUACUUGCUUUGCACUGCUGCUGUUACUAUUGUUGCUACUUGAUACUGCUGUUACUACUGUCGCUUGCUCUACUGCUACUUGCUACUGUUGCUACUUGCUAUUGUUGUCACUAUUGUUGUUCCUUGCCACUGCUGUUACUCGUUACACUGCUGCUACCUGCUACAAUACUUUCUUGGCGCCAUUGAUACGAGAGUUAGGAAUAGUCUGCCGUCAACAGAUCGUUUCUGACACCGUUGUUAUCAUACUACUUUGCUGCUGAUACUUUUCUUGCAGAUACUAAUCUUUCAAGUGUGGUUGAAUCUGACACAUUCAAUUGCUAAUACUCAAGAGUAUUCUCUCACCUCCUGACUGGUGUACCAACAAAUUUGGUUCGAAUACUCUACCCUCGAAAACUGUCGCGAACCCACGCGCUGGUGGGCCAUUGCAAGACAAUUGCUAAUUGUUGAGCAACUGGGAGCAGUUCUGGCUCUGUUGUCGCGAAGGCAGCAAGUCAGAGACUCGUCAACAACAUUCUUCUAGUGUCGUUGUGGGGGACUGCUAAGCAGCAUUUUUCUGGCACCGUUGCCGGGGAGGUAUUGCUAUAUUCUCUGAGUCACUUGGGAUUUAUAUUUGCUGAUCACUAUGAAGAAUCUGAAGGAUCCAAAAACCAAAGUCUUGCCCUCAACUACGAGGGGAGGUAAGGAACUGCCAUCUAGCUCUGCACUUGAUUCACCUUCAGUUAUGAGUAAGUUUGCGACAUCACCUCCUGCUAGAAAUCUUGAUAUGUCGCAUGUGCUCGAUGAUGCUUAUGAUGCUACUAUGCUUGAUGAUGUUAUGCCUGAUACUGCUAGAGAUGCUAUGCCUGGUACUGCUAGAGCUGCUAUGCCUGAUACUGCUUUGCCUGAUGAUGCUAGAGAUGCUAUUUUGCCUGAUGAUGCUAUGCUUGAUACUGCUAGAGAUACUACUUUGCCUGAUGUGCCACUAGGGGUGUUCCUUGAUGCUCAUAUUGCUAGAGUUACUGCCAAUGCUCGUGAUGCUUCUGAAACUGCCGAUAAUAUUGAGAUAGAACCUCCUUUUGCUCCUGCUAGAUCUAGCUCUCCUAGAUAUGAAUUGCGUGAUAUACCUGAGGGUUACGUUAUGGAGGGAGAGAUAGUUGAGGAUUUUCUUGCAUGUAAGGAUGCUAUGACACUGAGAAAUUACUUCUCAAGUGGAAGGAAAAAUCUCUGAAAGCUAGGAUGAAAUACGACCCGAAGUUUGCCACUUCACCUAUCUUUAUCAUCGAUAAGGAUUAUGAAUUCUGUGUCGAUCCUGAGAUAAUCUCUCUAGUCGAAUCUGAUCCUUUCCACGGUUAUGAGUCUGAGACGGUCAUAGCCCAUCUUACCAAACUACACGAUAUAGCCACCCUUUUCACGUGUGAGGAGAAUAUCCGCCACUACUAUAUCCUUAAGUUGUUUCCUUUCUCUCUAAAGGGUGACGCUAAAGCCUGGUUCACUUCUCUUGCUCCUGGAUGUGUGAGUAGUCCCCAGGAUAUGGUCUAUUACUUCUGUGAGAAAUAUUUCCCUGCCCAUAAGAAGCAAGCUGCCUUGCAGGAAAUAUACAACUUUGCUCAACUCAAAGAAGAGAGUCUCCCACAAGCUUGGCGAGGCUCGUCCAGCUACAAAAUGCUUUGCCUGAUCACCCUCUUAAGAAGAACGAGAUACUUGAUAUCUUCUAUAACGGACUUACCGAUGCUUCUAGAGACCACCUAGAUAGUUGUGCCGGUUGUGUUUUUAGGGAACAAACUGUAGAACAAGCUGAGACUCUACUGAAUAACAUCUUGAUCAACGAUAAUGCUUGGACUAUUCCCGAACCACCUCCUAAGCCAAGUCCGAAGAAAAGAGGUAUUCUAUUCCUCAGUCCCGAAGAUAUGCAAGAAGCCAAGAAAUCUAUGCAAGAGAAAGUCAUUAGAUCUGAAGAUGUCAAAAAUCUACCACCUAUCGAAGAGAUCCAUGGUCUCGAUAACCCGAUACAUGUAGUGGAAGUAAAUUCCCUGCGUAGGUUUGAUGAGAGUGAUAUUCCUUUUGAUAAACCUGCUAGCCCAUGCUUUGAUGAAUUUGACAACUUUGUUGCCAAACAACAGAGUUUCAAUGAUUAUGUUAGCAGACAUUUGGAAUAAAGUACUCGUAUGCUUAGUCAUUUAAGUGCUUGUGUAGACAGAAAUGUCAAUGAUCUGAAGCUUCUGAGUAAACAUGCCUCUAUGAUUACUACUCAGGUAGAACAAGUACUUAAAGCUCAGAAUGACCUGCUCAAUGAAUUAAAUGACAACUCUGUCAGAGUCAUUACUAGAGGAGGCAAAAUGACUCAGGAACCUUUGUAUCCUGAGGGUCAUCCUAAGAGAAUUGAUCAAGAUUCUCAAGGAAUUAAUGCUGAUACACCCAGUCAUCCUAAGGAGAAGAAGAAGGAUGAUAGAAAUCUGCCUGUUAGUUCACCAAAUACUGUCACACCUGAAGAACCAAAUGAUAUUUCUGCGUCUGAUGCAGAAACACAAUCUGGUGAUGAACAUGAACCAUGUGACAAUAUGGACAGCGAUGUUCAUAAUGAUGCUCAACCUAGCAAUGGUGAGGAUGUGGAGAUUGAACCUACGGUUAAUCCUGAUAACCCACAACCUAAGAGAUACGAUAAGAAUGACUUCACUGCUAGGAAGCAUGGUAAAGAAAGGGAGCCAUGGGUUCACAGACCUAUGCCCUUUCCUCCUAAGCCAUCCAAGAAAAAGGAUGAUGAGGAUUUUGAGUGCUUUAUUGAAAUGAUAAGACCCGUCUUUCUGCAGAUGCGGUUAGUUGAUAUGCUCGAAAUGUCUCCGUAUGCCAAGUACACGAAAGAUAUCGUGACCAAUAAACGGAGGAUACCAGAUCUUGAGAUCUCCACCAUGCUUGCCAAUUACACUUUCAAAGGUGGAACUCCUAAGAAACAUGGUGAUCCUGGAGUGCCCAUUAUACCUUGCUCCAUUAAAGGAAACUAUGUAAGAACUGCCUUAUGUGACCUUGGAGCCGGAGUUAGUGUUAUGCCUCUCUCUCUUUAUCGUAGACUUGAAUUGGAUAAGUUGACACCCACUGAAAUUUCUCUGCAAAUGGCCGACAAAUCAAGUGCUUUCCCUGUCAGCAUUUGCGAGGAUGUGCCUGUUGUGGUUGCUAACACCACUAUCUUAACAGACUUUGUUAUCUUGGAUAUUCCCGAGGACGAUGCCAUGGCUGUCAUCCUCGGAAGACCCUUUUUAAACACUUCAGGGGCUGUUAUAGAUUGCAACAAAGGCAAUGUCACUUUCCAUAUCAACGGUAAUGAGCAUACCGUGCACUUUUCGAAGAAACGAUAUCAAGUACAUUGCAUCAAUGCUAUCGAAAAAACUUCAUCGAUUCUUAUUGGGAGCUUUGAAUGCCCUAUUCCUCGUGUCAAGAUGAAGUAUGAAUUGCUUGUUGGGGAGAUACAUAUCCCCAUUGAGGUGACUUAGUGGCUAUUCGAAAAUUCUCAGUUCUCUCUUGCGCUUCGAGAAAGUUUUGUCAUAAGGAUUUGAUCAACCCCAUUGACAGAUUUCUUUCGAUGACCAUGAAAUGGAUGAAUCAAAGAGUCACACACCUCUGUUUUAAGCUUUCAUUUUCUUUUGCUUAGAAGAAAAAUGAUAGGUUUAGUUUAGUUUUUCCUGUUUUCUGUUUUAGCGUCCCAGAGAAAAAUACCCCGAAAAUAAAAGUUCUCCGAUGGUCCUGAAAAUCUAGUAUGAUUUUUUCUGGAAUAUUUGAAAAAUACUGGGACAGAGAGCUGGCCUGGGGGCCACCCCAGUGGGCCACAAGCCAUGUCACCGCGGCCACCCCCCUGGCCACGGCAAGCAAGCUUGUGGGGCCCACAGGGGCCCCCUCCACUCAUUCCAGCUCCCAUCCUCUUCCUCUACCUCCAGAAAAAAAUGUUUCGAAGCUCAAACCCGUGUUCUUGCUCAUUUGGCUGUGAUUUUCGAUCUCCUUGCUCAAAGCAUCAUUCUCCGAACCGUUUUGACGAAAUUGCUCCUUGGUAAGUGACUCCUCCAUUGGUCCAAUUAGUUUUUGCUCUAGUGAUUUAUCCUUCGCGUAUUCUUACUACCUUGGUGACCCUAUUCUUGAGCUUGAAAUGUUGAUUUUAGCUGGUCCCAAGUAGUUUUAGCGUGUGAUACGGUCUCUAGGCAUUAGUAGGAGUAGUUGCGACGAGUUUGGUUAAUCUCUAUUCACUUUUCUUUCGAAGUCUCUAAAAAUUUCAGAAUUUUUCAGAGCUAGAAAAGGAAAAAUAUGAGGAGGUUCUUGAGAGGCUCUUCAAGUCGUAACCCCAAGGAGGAUGAGAGGAACCUCCCCAAGUACGUGGUUCCUCGAGUCACAGAAGUUCGAGCGUGCGAGUGGCCAAGUGAUGAAUUUUUACGCGCCGCCGGGCUUUAUGAAGACUUUUAUCACUUGGUGGAGAACGCAGGUCUUACCGCGUUCGUUGAACAUAAGUGCUCACAAUACCUCCUCCUAACCAAUAUUUUUGUUCAAAGCUUCAACUUUUAUCCGAGGAAGAAUCCUCCCAUGGUUGAGUUCAUGUUGUACGAUAUCCCCAGUGCAUGACACUACAUGACUUUUGUAAUGCAUGCAAAUUACCUUAUGUUGGGGAUAUUCAUGAUCCUCGUCCACGGGACUUGCAGGAUUUCAUAGGUACUAUUGCUGUUGGUGAGGAGAGAGGAGUGUCUCGCGCUAGAAUUGCUAGCAUACAUUGUCCUGUGCUUUGGUACUUCUCAUUAUUUGUGGGAAAAUGUUUGAUUGGCCAUGGGGAGGCUAGAUCACUUAGUUCUCCAGACCUUGCGGUUUUGCAUGAAGGCCUUUAUAGCACUAAGACUUAUAGCCUAGGUGCUAUAGUAGCUCAGUGGUUGAACACAAACCGUUCCAAAGGUGUCGUCUAUGGAGGUAUCUAUGCUACUCGUCUCGCUAGACACUUUGAGAUACCCAUUCGACUACGCGAGGAAGAAGAGAUGCUUCUUCCCGAGAAAUAUCUGGAUUAUGACAGCAUGGUUCGCCAUGAUUUUCUAGAUAGAGAUGCUAGUAGACGGACGAUUUAUAACCUGGUAUUUAGUCAGGGUACUCGAGAGACUAUUACUUUGCCUGCUCCUUCUUUGUUCGAUCUUCAUGCAGGCAGGUACACUAUUAUGCCUUCGGACAUCUACGAAUAUUGGGGCUUAGCCCAACCACAGGUGCUCGUGCCCGAGCUGCCAGUCGAGUACCAGACGCCAGUUUAUCAGUGGGAGCCAGAGGAGCUCAUACAGCAGUGGCAUCCAUAGUCUGGUCCGGAGUAUCCCAGAGCUGGUUAUUUCCCGCCUUGGGAGUAGACCAAGCUAGGCCAAAAGCCUAAGCUUGGGGGAGUACGUGUUCUCACCGACCUUAGAUUCAUGCUUAUGCUUUUACUUUAUUCGUCGGUGUUCACACUUUGCCACUGUAUUAUCCAUGCUAGUUUAUUUUCGUUUUCUUGUUUUGCGUCCUUUUGAGAAAACCCAAAAAUAUUUUCCUUUUUUUGCUUGUUGGGAGCUUUCCCGUGUAAAUAGUUUUCUUUUUUUUCUUUGGGUCAAGGUAGAAGAUAUUUGUUACAAUGUUUAGUGGCUCUUGCAUGCAUACCUGUUUAGCUUUCAAAGAGCCAUAUUACUUUGUCUUCUCCUUUGUGUUUGCCUGCAGAUUCAGCUUAGUCCAUUGCCCGAGCACUCUUAUUAUUGUUCACAUCGUUCGAUCGUGCAAGUGAAAGGCAAUAAUGAUGAUAUAUGAUGAAGUGACUGAGAGUGGAAAACCUCGUAUGAACUCUAUCUAUUUCGUUUUUUGUAAAUAUGACUAGCUUGUCAUCCCAGAUUCAGCAUUGUUGUGAGAGAACCAUGUUUGCAAUGACAACUUAGAGAUCAUAGUUUCUGAUGCCAUGCUUAUUUAGCUAGGAGCUUAUAAUGGUUUGUCUUGAAUGCCAACAUAGAUUUUGAGAUGACUAUGAUGUAGUAUGAUAGGAUGGUAUUCUCCUUUGCAUGAUUCAAGUGGCUUGACUUGGCGCAUGUUCAUGCAUAUAGUUGAAACAAAAUCAACAUAGCCUCUAUGAUGUUCUUGUUCAUGGUGAUUUAUAUCCUGUUCAUGCUUGCAUUCCAUGUUAGUCAAACUCAUUGCAUCUUGAUGACUGUUGUUGCUCUCUAGUUGGUUGCUUCCCAGUAUUUUGCUAGCCUUCACUUGUACUAAGCGGAAUACUGCUUGUGCAUCCACUUCCAUAAACCCAAAAGUUUUUCCAUGAGAGUCCACCAUACCUACCUAUGUGCGGUAUUUACCUGUCGUUCCAAGUAAAUUUGCAUGUGCCAUUCUCUAAACCUUCAAGAAAUAAUCUGUUUUGCAUGCCCAAACCGCUCAUGUGGUGACAGGGGGCUAUUGGUAUCUUCCAUGUUAGGCGUGUUAUCAUCGACAUGUGUUUAUUCACUGUCAUUCACGAGAAAGGGGCCGGUAAUUGGAAUCCCAGUUCCACGCUUAAAUCGAAAACAUAACUGUAAAACAAGACUCCCCCCAGAUUGAUGUUAGUAUGGACGGUACCCGAGGAUUCGGCUAGCCGUGGAGUGUGAUUGAUUGGUGGUGGGGGAGUUAAAACUUCACUUUUCUGUUUGGGAAUCGCCUAUAGCAUGAGUAGCGUGGAAGAUAUUGAGAACUCUUGGUCAUUGCGUUGACAAUGAAAGCAUGCCACCCAAAAUUAUUAUCUCUGUUUUCAAAGCUUGAGCUCUGGCACCUCUGCAAAUCAAUGCUUCCCUCUGCGAAGGGCCUGUCUAUUUAUUUUCCUGUUGAGUCGUCCUCUUCUUAUAAGCACCAAUUAGAGAGCACCUCUGUCAUCUUUAUGCUUUGCUUUUGAUUGAUAUUGAGUAUGACUAUGACUGGAUCUUUGUUGCUAUGAAUUACAAUGUUUAGUCAGCCCUUGAUCUUUGAAAGUGCUCUGCAUUUAUGUUUUGCGGUCUCAGAAAGAGCUAGCGAGAUACCACCUAUUCAUAUUGCUUCAUGCUUGUUUUGAUUGAAUUGUUGAUAUCUGAAACUCAUUAUUAUUUGCUUGCUAGCUGAUUAUGCGAUUGAUAUUAGUUUACCGUGAGACCUUUGUGUCACUUGCUUAUGUGGUUAACUUGUGAUCUUGCUGAAAUUCUGGUUAUGAGUUAGAUAUAGUUGCAACAACAAGAUCAAACAGAGUUUGUCAAAGUUUUUCUUUCUCUUUCAGUUUGUCAACUGAGUUGCUUGAGGACAAGCAAGGUUUUAAGGUUGGGGGAGUUUGAUACGUCUCCAUCGUAUCUACUUUUCCAAACUCUUUUGCCCUUGUUUUGGACUCUAAUUUGCAUGAUUUGAAUGGAACUAACCCGGACUGACGCUGUUUUCAGCAGAAUUGCCAUGGUGUUGUUUUUGUGCAGAAAUGAAAGUUCUCGGAACGUCCUGAAAAUUUACGGAGAAUUUUUCACGAAAAUAUGAAAAAUACCUGCGCAAAGAUCCACCGGAGGGGAUGGGCCAGUGGGCCACAAGCCCUGUUGUCGCGGCCACCCCCCUGGCCGUGGCAAUCAAGCUUGUGGGGCCCACGUGGCUCUGCCGCCCCCAAACUCAGCUCUAUAAAUUCACUUUCGCCUAGAAAAAAUCAGAUGAGAAGAUUUCGUCGCGUUUGCGAUACGGAGGCGCCGCCACAUCCUGUUCUUCAUCUGGAGGACAGAUCUGGAGUCCGUUUUGGGCUCCGGAGAGGGGAAAUCGUCGCCAUCGUCAUCAUCAACCUUCUUCCUUCUCCAAUUCCAUGAAGCUCUUCAUCGUUCGUGAGUAAUCUAUUCGUAGGCUCGCUGGGCGGUGAUGAGUAGGAUGAGAUCUAUCAUGUCAUCGAGUUAGUUUUGACGGGGAUUGAUCCCUAGUAUCCACUAUGUUCUGAGAUUGAUGUUGCUACUACUUUGCCAUGCUUAAUGCUUGUCACUAGGGCCCGAGUGCCAUGAUUUAAGAUCUGAAAUUAUUAUGUUGUCACCAAUAUAUGUGUGUUUUAGAUCCGAUCUUGCAAGUUGUAGUUACCUACUAUGUGUUAUGACCCGGCAACCCCGGAGUGACAAUAAUCGGAACCACUCCCGGUGAUAACCAUAGUUUGAGGAGUUCAUGUGCUCACCAAGUGCUAAUGCGUUGUUCUGGUUCUUUAUUAAAAGGAGAACCUUAAUAUCCUGUAGUAUCCUUUUGGACCCUACUGCCACGGGAGGGAUGGACAAUAGAUGUCAUGCAAGUUCUUUUCCCUAAGCAUGUAUGAUUACACACGGAAUGCAUGCCUACAUCACAUUGACGAACGGGAGCUAGCCACAUAUCUCUCCGUGUAAUAAUUGUUGCAUGAUGAAUAUCAUCCAAACGAAUCACCGACCUAUUGCCUACGAGUUUGUCCCACUGCUGUUGUUACUUGUUUUGCUCUGCUCCUGUUACUGGUGUUACUUGCUUUGCACUGCUGCUGUUACUAUUGUUGCUACUUGAUACUGCUGUUACUACUGUCGCUUGCUCUACUGCUACUUGCUACUGUUGCUACUUGCUAUUGUUGUCACUAUUGUUGUUCCUUGCCACUGCUGUUACUCGUUACACUGCUGCUACCUGCUACAAUACUUUCUUGGCGCCAUUGAUACGAGAGUUAGGAAUAGUCUGCCGUCAACAGAUCGUUUCUGACACCGUUGUUAUCAUACUACUUUGCUGCUGAUACUUUUCUUGCAGAUACUAAUCUUUCAGGUGUGGUUGAAUCUGACACAUUCAAUUGCUAAUACUCGAGAGUAUUCUCUCACCUCCUGACUGGUGUACCAACAAAUUUGGUUCGAAUACUCUACCCUCGAAAACCGUCGCGAACCCACGCGCUGGUGGGCCAUUGCAAGACAAUUGCUAAUUGUUGAGCAACUAGGAGCAGUUCUGGCUCUGUUGUCGCGAAGGCAGGCAGUCAGAGAUUCGUCAACAACAUUCUUCUAGUGUCGUUGCCGGGGACUGCUAACCACUGCACACCUUUUGAGAGAGACAUGCACUCAUCAUGAUUUUGCUAGAAUGCUCAUUGUGCUUCACUUAGAUCUUUUAGAGCACGGCGGUGCGUGACUUGGUAGUUGGCUUGUGCUAUGAAAGUAGUCCCAAAGGUGAUAGGUACCCAAAGAGGAUACAAAAACCUCCAUCUUCAUGUGCAUUGAGUAGAAAGAGAAGUUUGAUUCCUCUCAAUUAGUUUUGAGACAUGGAUUUGGUAAUAUUAAGAGUUAUGUUAGUAGGGUGUUGUGAAUCUAGAAAUACUUGUGUUGAAGUUAGUGAUUCCCGUAGCAUGCACGUAUGGUGAACCGCUAUGUUAAGAAGUCGGAGCAUAAUUAAUCUAUUGAUUGUCAUCCUUUGUGUUGAGGUCGGGAUCGCGCGAUGGUUAACACCUACCAACCCUUCCCCUAGGAGUAUGCGUUUAGCACUUUGUUUCGAUUACUAAUAAAAACUUUCGCAACAAGUAUGUGAGUUCUUCAUGACAAAUGUGAGUCCAUGGUAUAGAUGCACUUUCACCUUCCACCAUUGCUAGCCUCUCUAGUACCGCUCAACUUUCGCCGGUACACAAACCCACCAUAUGCCUUCCUCAAAACAGCCACCAUACCUACCUACUAUGGCAUUUUCAUAGCCAUUCUGAGAUAUAUUGCCAUGCAACUCCCACCGUUCCGUCUCAUGACUUGUGCCGUCACUCUCAUAUUGCAAUUGCAUGAUCGUAAGAUGGCUAGCGAGAUGUUUCAACGUCAUACGCCAAGCUAGAUCGUUGCACAUCCCGGUACACUGUCGGAGGCAUUUCCUAUAGAGUCAUCAUCGUUCUCAGCUUUGAGCUGUGAGUAAAUAAAAGUGUGAUGAUCAUCAUUAUUAGAGCAUUGUCCCGUGUGAGCAAAAAAAGAGGCCAAAGAGCUGAAAUAAUAAAAAAAGAGAAAAAAAGUGGCCCAAGAGCCCAUAUAAAAAAAGGAGAGAAAAAGAGAGAAGGGACAAUGCUACUAUCUUUUUCCACACUUGUGCUUCAUAAUAGCACCAUGUUCUUCAUGAUUGAGGGCAUCUCAUUUCGUCACCACCAUAUUCUAGUGGGAAUCUUUAUUAUAUAACUUGGCUUGUAUAUUCCAAUGAUGGGCUUCCUCAAAUUGCCCUAGGUUUUCGUGAGCGAGCAAGUUGGAUGCACACCCACUAGUUCUCCUUUUGAGCUUUCACAUACUUAUAGCUCUAGUUCAUCCUUUGUAUGGCAAUCCCUACUCAUUCACAUUGAUAUCUAUUACUGGGCAUCUCCAUAGCCCUUUGAUAUGCCGAGUCAAUGUGACCAUCUCCUCCUUUUUGUCUAACAACCACCAUCACACUCUAUUCCACCUAUAGUGCUAUAUCCAUGGCUCACGCUCAUGUAUUGCGUGAUAGUUAUAAAAAGUUUGAGAAAGUAAGAGUGCGAAAACAAUUACUUGGCCAAUACCGGGGUUGUGCAUGAUUUAAAUUAGUUGUGUGAGGAUGAUGGAGCAUAGCCAGACUAUAUGAUUUUGUAGGGAUAACUUUCCUUGGCCUUGUUAUUUUGAAAGUUCAUGAUUACCUUGCUAGUUUGCUUGAAGUAUUAUUGUUUUCAUGUCAAUAGCAAACUAUUGUUUUGAAUCUUACGGAUCUGAACAUUCAUGUCACACGAAAGAAGUUACAAAGGACAACUAUGCUAGGUAGCAUUCCACAUCAAAAAUUCAGUCUUUAUCACUUCCCCACUCGAGGACGAGCAUAAGUUAAGCUUGGGGAAGCUUGAUACGUCUCCAACGUAUCUAUAAUUUUUUAUGGUUUCAUGCUAUUAUCUUGUCAAACUUUCGAUGUUUUGUAUGCCUUUUAUAUCUUUUUUGGGACUAACUUAUUAACUCAGUGCCAAGUGCCAGUUCCUGUUUUUUCCGUGUUUUUGACCCUUUUCAUAGGAGGAUUUUAAACGGAGUCCAAACGGAAUGAAACCUCCAAAAAGAUUUUUUCUGAAACAGAAGAAGAUCGAGGGACUUGAGAACCAAGUCAGGGGCCACCAGGGACCCCACAAGCCCCCUAGCCGCGGCCAGGGGGGCCCACGCCUCCCAGGCUUGUGGGCUCCUUGGGCCACCUCUGCCCUAGGUCUUUCGCCUAUAUAUUCCCAAAAAUUCCAGAAAAAAUCAGGAGAUCAUCGAAAGUACUUUUCCGCCGCCGCAAGCUUCUAUCUCCGCAAGAUCCCAUCUGGGGCACAUUCUGGUGCCCUGCCGGAGGGGGGAUUCGGAUACGGAGGGCUUCUUCAUCAACACCAUGACCUCUCAGAUGAUGCGUGAGUAGUUCACCAUAGACCUACGGGUCUGUAGCUAGUAGCUAGANNNNNNNNNNNNNNNNNNNNNNNNNNNNNNNNNNNNNNNNNNNNNNNNNNNNNNNNNNNNNNNNNNNNNNNNNNNNNNNNNNNNNNNNNNNNNNNNNNNNNNNNNNNNNNNNNNNNNNNNNNNNNNNNNNNNNNNNNNNNNNNNNNNNNNNNNNNNNNNNNNNNNNNNNNNNNNNNNNNNNNNNNNNNNNNNNNNNNNNNNNNNNNNNNNNNNUUCAUGGAGAUCUAUCUGAUGUAAUCUUCUUUUGCGGUGUGCUUUUCGAGAUCCGAUCAAUUGUGGAUUUAUGACCAGAUUAUCUAUGAAUCUUAUUUGAGUUUCUUCUGAUCUCUUAUAUGCAUGAUUUCAUAUCCUUGUAAUUCUCUUCGAGUUGUGGGUUUUGUUUAGCCAACUUGAUCUAUGAUUCUUGCAAUGGGAGAAGUGCUUGGUUUGGGGUUCAUACCGUGCGGUGACCUCACCCAGUGACAGAAGGGUAGUGAGGCACGCAUCGUGUUGUUGCCAUCAAGGGUAAAAAUAUGGGGUUUUCAUCAUUGGUUUGAGUUUAUCCCUCUACAUCAUGUCAUCUUGCUUAAGGCGUUACUCUGUUCGCCAUGAACUCAAUACACCAGAUGCAUGCUGGAUAGCGGUUGAUGUGUGGAGUAAUAGUAGUAGAGGCAAAACGUAUCGGUCUAGUUGUCUCGGACGUGAUGCCUAUAUGUAUGAUCAUUGCCUUAGAUAUCGUUAUGACUUUGCGCGGUUCUAUCAAUUGCUCGACAGUAAUUUUUUCACCCACCAUAAUAUUUGCUAUUUUGAGAGAAGCCUCUAGUGAACACUAUGCCCCCGGGUCUACUCCACACUAUAUUUUCAGCCUUACUCUUUUACUUCGUUGCACUUUCCGCCUUCAGAUCUCACUUUGCAAUCAAUCUUGAAGGGAUUGACAACCCCUUUAUAGCGUUGGGUGCAAUCUCUUUUGUGUUUGCGCAGGUACUCUGGACUUGACGAGAUUCUCCUACUGGAUUGGUACCUUGGUUCUCAAACUGAGGGAAAUACUUAUUGCUCCUAUGUUGCACCACCCUUUCCUCUUCAAGGGAAAAACCAACGCAAGCCCAGCCUCCGUCAACGUGCCAAUCUCUGGCGUUGUUGUCUGUUGCCGCAGCACCUAGUAGGUUCACACAAAGAUUCUUCGUCACAUGCAUCACGUCGAUUGCAGAGCGUACCUCUAAGUCUUUCCAAUUGGGUAGGUCCCAAAAUAUAGAUUUCUUCUUCCACAUGGGUGUGUGUCCCGCAUCGUCAUUCGGAACAGAUAGUCCGCUAGGGUCCUUUCCAAAGAUUACUUGUAAAUCAUUGACCAUAUCAAGUAUGUGAUCACCAGUACGGAGGGCGGGCUUCUUCCGGUGAUCUGCCUCACCUUUGAAAUGCUUUCCUUUCUUUCGACAUUGAUGGUUGAUUGGAAGAAAUCGACGAUGCCCCAUGUAGACAUUCUUCCUGCAUUUGUCCAAAUAUAUAAUGUCGGUGUCAUCUAAACAGUGUGUGCAUGCGUUGUAUCCCUUGUUUGUCUGUCCUGAAAGGUUACUGAGAGCAGGCCAAUCGUUGAUGGUUACAAACAGCAACACAUGUAGGUCAAAUUCCUCCUGUUCGUUCUCAUCCGACACACGUACACCAUUUCCAUUCCAUAGGUGUAAAAUGUCAUCAACUAAUGGCCUUAGGUACACAUCAAUGUCAUUUCGGGUUGCCUCGGGCCUUAGAUGAGCACUGGUAUCAUAAUGAACUUCCGCUUCAUGCACAACCAAGGAGAAAGGUUAUACAUACAUAGAGUCAGAGGCCAUGUGCUACGCUUGCUGCUCUGCUCCCGAAAAGGAUUAACGCCAUCUGCACUUAAAACAAACCAUACGUUCCUUGGGUCACGUGUAAAGUCGCUCCACUUUCUCUCAAUCUUUCUCCACUGCGACCCGUCAGUGGGUGCUCUCAACUUCCCGUCUUUCUUACGGUCUUUUAUGUGCCAUUGCAUCAACUCGGCAUGCUUUUUUGUUUCUGAACAGACGUUUCAACCGUGGUAUCAUAGGAGCAUACCACAUCACCUUGGCAGGAACCAUCUACCCGGUGCGCUGGCCCUCAAUAUCACCAGGGUCAUCUUUUCUGGUCUUAUACCGCAAUGCGCCGCAUACCGGGCAUGCGUUCAAAUCCUCGUACGCACCACGGUAGAGGAGGCAGUAUUAGGGCAUGCAUGUAUCUUCUGCAUCUCCAAUCCUAGAGGGCAUAGAACCUUCUUCGCUUAGUACGUACUUCCGGGCAAUUCGUUAUCCUUUGGAAGCUUCUUGUUCAUUAAUUUCAGUAGCAAACUAAAUGCCUUGUCAAAUACACCAUUAUCUACCUUCCAUUGCAGCAAUUCCAGUGUGGUACCGAGCUUUAUGUUGUCAUCUUCGCAAUUUGGGUACAACCCUUUUUUGUGAUCCUCUAACAUACGAUCGAACUUCAAAUUCUCCCUUUCAUUUUCGCAUUCUCUAUGUGCAUCAACAAUGACCCGACGAAGAUCAUCAUCGGGCACAUCGUGUGGUUCCUCUUGAUCUUCAGCUUCCCCCAUUGCAGCAUCACCGUAUUCAGGGGGCGGGUAGUUGUCAUCAUCCUCUUCUUCUACGUUGUCUUCCAUCAUAACCCCUCUUUCUCCGUGCUUGGUCCAAACAUUAUAGUGUGGCAUAAAACCCUUCUGAAACAGGUGGAAGUGAAGGGUUUUAUAGUCGGAUAAUUCCUUCGUAUUCCCACAGAUAGUACAUGGACAAUGCAUAAAACCAUUCUGCUUGUUUGCCUUAGCCGCUUCGAGAAAAUUAUGCAGGCCAUUAAUAUACUCGGAGGUGCGUCGGUCACCGUACAUCCAUUGACGGUUCAUCUGCGUGCGUUAUAUAAUAAAGUGUACUAAAAACUACACAAAUCUUGAUGAAAAUGGAGCUUGGACAAGGAGCUUCUAAAGGAGAAAGCUUAAGUGUGGCUCGCGCAUUUCAUCGAACACCUCAUGUGCAUAGGAGGUGAGCUAGAGCACCACAAAUCUCUCCCACGGCCGGUCGAAAAAACAGAGCAGUGCACUGCUCUGCUCGCGGGGGUAUAUGUAGGCCAACCAUCGGUCCCGGUUUGUGGCUGGAACCGAGACCAAAGGACAGCCUCAGGUCCCGAUUCCAGCCACAAACUGGGACUACUGGUUGUGGGCCAGGAGCGAGGCACAUUGGUCCCGGUUCGUGUUUGGAACCGGGACCGAAGGUGACAAACGAACCGGGACAAAUGGCCCACGAGGCCCGGCCGGCGCCCUGGCCUCACGAACCGGGACCUAUGCCCACAUGGGUCCCGGUUCAUGAGUGAUCCGGGACUAAUGGGAUUUCAUCAAGAAGACUAAAGUCCUCUUUUCUACUAGUGCUUAUAGGACCUCCACAAAGUCAUAACUUGACAUGAUUUUGAACAUGUCCAAAAGUGAUUAGUGAAAGAAAUGGUCCUUCCGUGUAUUGCAAGGUCUAGUGUUGAGUAAAACACAAUGCCUAGCCACAAGAGAAGAUAGAGAAAGGGUGUGGGUCGUCCCCUAUGCAUCAGCCAUAGGCUCUAUCAUGUUUGACAUGUUGUGCACCAGACCCGAUGUGUGUCUUUCCAUAAGUAUGGCUGAAAUGUUGCAGCGUGAUCCAGAAGUGGAACACUAUACAUCGGUUGAAAAUAUCCUUAAGUACAUAAAGAGGACUAAUGAAAUGUUUCUUAUUUAUGGAGGUGAUAAAGAGCUCAUCAUAAAAGGUUAUAUCGACACUAGGUUUGACACUGAUCUGGAUGACUCAAAGUCUCAAAUCAGAUACGUAUUUGUUUUAAAUGGUGGAGUAGUCAGCUAGAGUAGCUCCAAUCAUAGUGUUGUAGCAGCAUGAUCAUGUGAGGCGGAAUAUAUAGUUGCUUCAAAAAUGACGCAAGAAGGAGUCUAGAUGAAGAAUUCAUGUCCCAUCAAGCCAUCUAGGUGUGAUACCUAGCACAUCGAAUCCCAUGACUAUCUUUUUUGAAAACUCUCGAGCCAUUGACAUGCCAAGGCGCCCAUGUUUCACAAGAAGACCAAACAUAUCAAACGCCAUUUCAAUUCCAUCAGUGACUACAUCAAGGAAGAAACAUACAGAUUUCCAAAGUACAUAUGGAUCUUAAUGCUACAGACCCGUUGACAAAACCUCUUCCACAAGCAAGAUAUGAUCAACACCAAAACUCUAUAUGUGUUAGUUUCAUUACGAUGUGAACUAGAUUAUUGACUCUAGUGCAAGUAGGAGACUGUUGGAAAUAUGCCCUAGAGGCAAUAAUAAAUAUUUUAUUACCUUAUUUCCUUAUUCAUGAUAAUUGUUUAUUAUCCAUGCUAGAAUUGUAUUGACCGAAAACUGAAUACAUGUGUGGAUACAUAAGUGAAUUCCAUGUCCCUAGUAAGUCUCUACUAGACUAGCUCGUUGAUCAAAGAUGGUUAAGAUUUUCUAACCAUAGACAUGAGUUCUCAUUUCAUAACAGGAUAUUGGGAUCACAUCAUUAGAACAAUGGUGUGAUGGAGGGACCCAACCAUAAGCUUAGCAUAUGAUCGUAUCACUUAGUUAUUUGUUCCUUAGACCAUGAGAUCGUGCAACUCCCUAAUGUGGGAAGAAUACUUUGUAUGUAUCCAAACGUCACUUCGUAAUUGGGUGAUCAUAAAGGUCCUCUACAAGGAUCUCAAAAAGUGUUUGUUGGGUUGCAUAGAUCAAGACUGGGAUUUUGCACUAUGUAUAACAUAGAAAUAUCUUUCAACCCUCUCGGUAACACGAUAUCAAAAGUAGCUUGCAAGCAUGACAAUAAUGACUUUCGUAACGAGGAUAUUGCAUUACAGAACAAGUAAAGGGACAUAUUGGUAACGAGAUUGAACUAGGUAUGGGCGUAUGGCGAUACCAAUGAUCGAAUGUCGGGCAAGUUACAUACCGUUGGAUAAAGGGAAUUGCAUAGGGGAUUAUGUAAAUCCUCGGCAUUUCGGUUCAAAGCGAUAAAGAUCUUUGUUGAAUAUGUGGGAGUCAAUAUGGGCACCCAGGUCCCACUAUUUCUUAUUGAUCCAAGAAGAGUCUCGGUCAUGUCUACAUGUUCUCGAUCCCGUAGGGUCACACACUUAACAUUCGCCAACGCUAGAAUAGUAUUGAAAUAUUGGUAAUGGCAAGAACUAGAUAUUGUUUGGAAUAUCAUAUGAGAUUCAGGACAUCACAUGAUCUCGAAAAUGGCCCGGUGGUAAAGAUUUAUAUAUGGAAAGUGAUUUUCAGGGUUCUAGUAUUCUUCGAGAUUUUUCGGUAUUGUAUCGGGAAGGUUCUAGAAGAUUCCGGGUUGGGCCCAACCUGCUUGGGAGACCCACAUACACGUGGUAUGGGGCAAGUCUCCACACCCCUAGUCUAGGUGCACCAAGAUCCCCACUAAAAGGAAUAGGAUCAUAUCACGAAGAGAUAAGAUUAAGAUCCCUAAAACGAGGGGGGGUCGUGGUUUUUUGGGAAAGGAGAGGAGAGGAUUUCCUUCCCCCACCUUGUCCAACGGCCCGGGCUUGGGGAGCAAGCCUCCCAACACCCCCUGAUGCCUAUAUAAAGUGGGAGGUGUAGGAGGAAGCCACAUCCCUCCACCAGUGGGGCUGCCCUCUCCCUCUCCUCCACUUCUCAUUCAGUAUGCGCUUGGUGAAGCCCUGUCGGAGUUCCACUGCCGCCACCACCACCACACCAUCAUGUUGCAUCAAAUCUCAUCUACCUCUUCUCAUUCACUUGCUCGAUGAAGAAGGACGAUAAGUCAUCGAGUCGUACGUGUGCAUAUCUUGCAGGUCCCACUAGUGCAGUGCUUGUAUUGGAUUUGACCGCCACGCGAGUACGACUACGCUAACCAUGAUCUUUAGAUUGAUAAUGCUUUCAGUCUACAAGGGUAUGUAGGCACACACACACACACCUCUCAUUGCUAGCAUCUCCAUAGAAUAGAUCUUGGGUGUUUGAUAUGAAUUUGUUUUGUUUUCCAUGCAAAGUUUCAUAACACAGACGACUCCCAGCACUCCCGAGUGGCUCCCGAUGAUAGCCACCAUGCAACAAGCAGCCAGGAGGCUCUCUCCGUGAGUGAGGUGCACAGUGAAGCGGUCACUCCACCAUACUUUAUAGGAGUAAUGAGCUAGAAUUCUACCUCGAGGCGGUGAAGGAUGGGUUGGUGGUCAUCACAAAAGGGUUGGAUUAAAGUUGUGCGCACCUUCGGCAUGGAAAAGGACACAAUAUGGGCAUUCCACUUCCUCACAUUCGCCAACAACCGGAAUACCUUCCACCUCUCUCUUUAUCGCUUAUAAUAUUGUUGUUGCUCUUAUUGUUAAUAUGUUGCUUCUAGAAUUCUUGAACAUAUUGAACUCUGAUUUGAUUUACGCAUAUGUUGAACCAUUGUAAAUAGAGUUUGUAUGAUGGAUAUAAAAUAUAUGAGUGACACACUUCAUAAUUCAAUUUUUGGAAUUUUCCAAUUAGAUUCUGGAAAAUUAUAACUUACAAAGAAUAAGUUAUGGUAAAAAAAUCAAUUGUGCAAUGGGUCAUUACUGUUGAAAUGCGGUGCACACGGCUACAAAAGAAAAGAAAAACAUGUGCGAUGAAAACAAAGAGCACACACAGUUUGCUGACGAGGAACGUGUGCGAUUGUUCACAUUAACACACAUGUCUGCAUCCUUGAAACAUGUGUGCUAAUGAACACAUCAAACACAAUGCACUAUUGAUGAGCGUGUGUGUUAGGAACCCCUGUGCACAACCUUAGUAUGUGGAGCAUGUGCGAUAGUAGUUGGACCGCACAAAUUUUUUUGUUCUUGAAUGUGUGUGAUGUGUCGCAUCACAAACAAUGCGAUAGAUUAAACAUUUGUGAUAGGCAUCUUUUUAUACACGCACUAUGUCAAAUAACCAUUUCUUAUAUCUUCUGCAUCGCAAAUGUUGUGUCAAUGUAUAGCGCAUGCUCGAGCCUUAUUGCAAAGGAUUAAUCACGUGUGAUGGAUCCCCCUUAUCGCACACCUUCGCAUGGCGACAAUUCGGAACUAUGUCAGUGAAACGGGUUUAAACCGUUUGAAUAUGACUUUAGUACACUAGUGAAUCUUCGCUUGGCAUACAUUACAUACCCUAACUUUGUAAUUGGAGCAAAUUAGGCAUCAUCGUUGCUUCAAUUCGUGGCUGCAAUUGGUCUUUGUGUCAAUGGCGCAAUGGUUCAUCUCGUACUUAUGAAACCAAGUUGUUCUCAAUGUACAUUUUUUCAUCAUCCCAUGCGACCGGUCGUUGGUCAACUCUAUGUAUAUCUAAAUGAAAUGAUUUUAUAGUGCAUUAAAUUAAGGUGCACAUCAUUAAACCUUGAGAAGGGAAAAAUAUAUAUGCAAUUUGUGUCAUUUAUAGAUGAUUUAGAAUAUAAUUUAAAAUAGAGAAAGACAAGAUCAAGACACUAAUGUCGGUGUUCAAUCUUUUAAGCUAUCACGUGGCAAGUCAAAUAGUGUGCGUAAUAUUAUGACGAAUAUAUAGUAAUAUAUGUUUCAAUUAGAUAGCACUUAAUGGGUCAUAUAUAUAAUGUAGGUACAUAUAUUUUGUGUGAGGUAUAUAUUAUUAAUAUAGACAUAAUAUACAUUCAUUGUGCACCGAAAGUGGAUUGACAAUAUAACUCCUAAUUAAACGCGUCAAUGCUUGAUAUUAUUUUUGGUGCUCUAACGAAGGCAGUGGCAAUCCACUAUAUGAGUAGUUUUCUAUAAGAAUAUGGGCCAUGUUUGUUGAUAUGCAUGCAUUAGGUUAAAAUUGACUUCCCAUCUGUUAGCAACAACUCUGAUACACUAUUAUAACAAGGAAUAUUAGUUAAUCAUUUUCAAGAGCAUGUUGUUAAUUACACUUAUUAAUUACACAAGAUUUAUGUUUUGAUUGCUAUUACCAUAUAUGAAUUUGUGAGUCUUGAUACAUCAUAAAUUGGAUAUGAUUUUCAUAUAAUGGAUAUUUUCACUAGCAUUUAUAGUAUGAUUAAUCAUGCUUUAUCAUCACAACAAGGUUUGCUCUAUGGUGAUGCUAUAAGUAUCAUGCCCUCCUCCUCACCCUCUCAAUUCAGACACUCCUUUGAUUUGAUACCUCUCAUACUUGUAUCCAAAUAUCACAAGUUUUUUCCCUCAAAAGACCUCAAGUUUGAACCAUGAAUCCAAGAUUCAACCAGGAAAGGAUCCCUUCCGAGGUAGAGGGGGGUAGAACAAUCAUCGAUGGGCUCAACAACUACUACUACAAUGAUGACACCAACCAUGACAAGAACAAGAAGAAUGAUAUUGCGGCCAAGCUCCAAACAUGGUUCCCUAGGAAGACCAUGCCACAGGUAACAAACAUGUAUGGUGAUCUUGCUGCAGAGAUGCAUAUGUUGCAGUGUACAGAGAAGGAGUACCAUGGUACCAAUGGUGAGCAUGGUGUCAAUUACACCGUGGAUGGCCAUGUGAAUAAAACAUUUGGAUUCCAAGAGGAGGCCGCAAUGGAAGGAACCGACUUUUUGUUUGGUUGUCCAUUAGAUAACAGGCAAACCAUGGACAAUCAAGAGGAGGUGUCGAUGGUGGAGCAGAACAAGGUGGUGUUAGAGAAUAAGACGUGCAUCCACCAACCAGUGCUUGCACCAUGUGCCAAGGGGUUUUGGACCCCUGAAGAACACAGGUUAUUCAUGUUUCAUCCUAAGUUUUCAUGGUAUUUUUAAUAUAUAUUUUUUAUUGUGAUUAUUCAUUUGGGGAUGUCGGGUUUGUUUUAAAAGAAAGCACACUAACUAAGCAUUAUGUGGAUUUUCAUUCUCAUGAGACGGGAGUUUUUAUUUUUAUUUUCAUUGUACUCAUUGUGCCUAUUUAGCAUUUACCAAAAGCAAUAAUACCAUGAUGUAUAUAUUUUGUUUGCGAAUGUCCAAGUUUAUUACAUUUGUGUGCUUCCAUUGAUAAUUUAAUAUCACCGAUGUUUGUCCUAAUAAUUAAAAGUGAUAAAGUUAUAAAUACAAGCAUUAUCAUGGUCUAUUGAUAUCUAUUUCAAUAUGACCAUGGUAAUCUUGAAUUUCCUUAUUCGUCUUUAAUCAUCUGAUGUUAUAUCUUAUGUAAUAGCACCAUAAGAAAAGAUAAAUAGACAUAAUCAAAAUGAUUACCAUGAGGGAUAAUGUUUGGGUUAAAGUUUUAAUUAUCCAACUCUUGCAUUUUUAUUUUUACCAAUAUAUUAAAUAAUCAAUAUGUCCUUGAUCAAUAAUAUACCUAACUAUUCAUCUUAAACCUGUUUAUUCUAGGCUCUUUCUCCAUGGCUUGAGCGUAUGUGGCCGUGGAAAAUGGAAGGACAUAUCAAAGCACUUCGUCACUAGUAGGACUCCAAUCCAGAUUUCGAGCCAUGCACAGAAGUACUUCAUGAGGCUAAAGAACAAAGGGUCAAGAAGCCAGCGCUACAGCAUCAAUGAUGUGGAGCUCGAUGAUUCUGGCCCAUGGAAAAUGGAGAAUACCUCUAACUUCUGGCAAGCACUUGCCUUGCAAUCUACAGUUGAUGCUGAUAACAAAAAUCCAAGCUUCGACUUGCAAACUCCUUCGAGCCCAUUUUUCACCAUAAACAAUAUACCUUAGUUUGGAGUCGUCGUUGUUAAAGAAAUGGAAAUAAUAGUGAGUAUGAUGUGAUAAUCAUAUGAUGUUGUCGUCACAGUAGGGACCAGUGAACUUUGUUCCUACUAGUAUACAAAUAUUACUUCAAGUUCCUUCAAAGCAUUGUAUGGAUACCAUAUAUAAGAUGUUAUGAUUUAAGUUAUAUUUGCAUAUGUGUUUGGGGAGUCAAUAAAAAUUGCUUUACUAUUGAGAGAAAAAUCUACUUUUUUACCCUUAACUGUUAAAGAAGUCUAGAUUUGGUCCCUCGAAUAUAGAGCAAAAUAAUUUGCAUUUUCAACUCUUCAAACCAAACGAGUUUGGCUCCUAUGCGGAACUAAAGCAGUUUAUUUGAUGAUGUGGCAUGGUCUUGAUUAGGCCAUGUUCAUGUGAAAACACAUAUAUUUUUUUCACGGUGUGGUCAUUUUAUCAAACACUUGUGUGCAUUGUACGUUGUUGCGAGCGGCACACCAACUCUCUCUUUAUACAAUGUUGCAGGUCAUCACCGUCGACUCGCGCAACAUGGAGUGUCGUUGUGGCAACCGGGCGAGAUACUGUUCGCACACCCGCCGGCGCGCCACCUCGCUCGCAAUCAGCGGCACCAGGCCAUUUACAUACUUUCAACAAGUUCAAAGAAACACCAAAGCUCAUGGAACAACAUGCAGGUAACCAAAGCAAGUCAAACUUAGAGAACAUCUUUCCUACUACUAUUAAACAAGCAAACAUAUUCAUCACUAAAUGCACCAAACCUAAUCUAGUACACAUAAAGACCUUGACCAAUUACAACCUCAAGAUCAGGCUAUUAGAUCUAACCAUCAGAUUAAAACUAACCCUCAUAAAAAGUGUGUUUAGCAAUUUCAACUGGUGGACGAAAACACUGCCACCGAACAUAAAGUUCCGCCCCAGUGUCCACAUGUCCCAUCAAAAGAACUGAACGCAAAAGAAAUCUCACGCCGGCACUCCACACCGCCGUCGUUUGCUCAAGUUAUCUGCUUGCGCCGCGGCCGUGCUUGCUGCCUCCUCCACGCGUGGCCGUGCCUAGGACACUUAACCGAGGUUUGGUGAGCGGAGAGAUCCAAGGCAAAGGAGCCGCCGCCGUGCAGGAAGCUCUCCUCCAUCCGGCUCACUAGAGGCGUUGCCAAACCGCGCGGCUUCGGUGAUGGCCACCUCUGCAUCCCAACGGUGACGGCCUCUUCUAGGCGGCUACACCCCCCUGACAAAAUUGACAAAAAUAAUUCCUAGAACGAAAGAAGUCACGAAGUGCACCUGAAAGCAAAAAAAAAUAUCCGUCUGACCCUUUCGUGUGGCGUCCGACACCUAGACGUCACAGUACACUCUGUAACGGCUAAAUCAUCGGCGCCACACGGCCCGGCCACCUGACAGAGCGAGCUCACCCUCCAGGUAGUGCGACGCCUAAGCCUGAGACGUCGCACCCUAUAAAGUGUGGCGUCGAAGGCUUAGGCUCCGCUGACCAUGUGGGCUCCUUGAAUGCUGCCUAUGGCGCGUCCCGCCUUCCGGCUGAGGAGAAUGCGGAGAUGCCGAAGAGCACCUUCAUCCCUUCGAAUGGCUACCAGCGGCAGCAACGACAAGCGUCGCGCGCCUGACAAACCCAAGACAUUGGCUCGGUGAGAUCAAAUCCCAACUUCUCCCUUGCCACCCAACCUGCAGUGCUAUGAUAACCCGAUUCAUUUCGAUUACCGUCGUUCGACAAUUUGUUGGUGUCCAUCAGUGCGCGUUCAUGGGCUUCGCGUGAAACCGGGGGAGCAAAAGGGCGGCGGCUUGCAUGAGAGGACUACAGGUUCAAGGCGGAGCAUUAGGUAUACCACCAAAGCAUGUUAAAGAUCGAGCUCGAGGUGUACAACUAGAGCAUGUUCUAGAAGGAGCUGUACAACAAUUGGGUGGACACUGGGUCGUGCUAUCAAACCAUCAUAGUGUAUUGGACUGGUCCGUUUCAUAGGGAACACGUCUUCUCAUCUUCCGUGCUUUCAAUUUGAGAAUCGUAUCUCUCUUAGCUACAAAUUAGACUUCCGCUAAAAACUAUCCAAACUACAAAAGACUAAAUGUUGUUGCUCCUGCAGAUGCUCUUGACAAGUACCAUUAUACUCCCUCCGUACCUAAAUAUAAGUCUUUUAAGAUAUUUCGCUAGGUGUCUACGUACGGAGCAAAAUGAGUGAAUCUAUACUCUUAAGUAUGUCUAUAUACAUCGGUAUGUAGUUCACUAGUGAAACCUCUAGAAAGACUUAUAUUUAGGUACGGAGGGAGUACAAGCUAGUUCAAUUUCUAUCUGUCGAAGGGGAAGUUGGCAUCCGUAAUAGUUCUAUCUAGAAUGGUCUUUGGUCUCUCAAUUCAUGCCUGAGUGCAAGUCAAGUCAAGUCAAGUCAAUGCAGUACUGUGUAUAUUUUAAACCAAAUUUCAUGACGCUGACUCAUGAAUUAUCUUUGGAAGGAGUUUCAUACAGGGGCGGAUCCAGAAUUGGGCCAGGCCUGCUACAAUACACAGAAAGACAAUCAAGGUUAUGAUAUUAUAAUGCAAAAGGAAAAAAUGAAAACCAUCACAUGGUUACAAUGUUAUUUCUGAAGCUCACAUUGAACUUAUACUUGAAGUUGCCACAUAUUCAAAUAACCAUUUGUUUCUUUGGUUCUAGAGUCCCAUGUUGGGCGUGAUUUUCCUAAUGGAGCAAGAUGGGCAUAAGAUUUGUUUAGUUAAGUUGGCGUGUGCUGUGCACAUGCAUAAUUAGUAUAAUGGCUUAGAACCAGAUGCUACAAACUAAAUAUGGAUGCUGCUUUUCAUGAUAAUGGUACAGGUGCAGCUGGCAUUGUCCUGCGAAAUAGCAUUGGUGAAGCGGUUGCUGGUGCAGCUUGUCUACCUGGCUCUACUCUUGAUGCCACCUCGACAGUAGCUUUGGCAAUGUCGAAGGGGCUGGAGCUGCUCGAGAGGUUCGGGUCAUCGGGUGCAUAUUGAAUCUGACUCGCUGGAAUUGAUAAAUGCAUGCAAGGGCGAGGUUCAUAUGUUCAGUCCAUAUACUGCAACCUUGGUGGAAUGCUUUGCAAAAGCCCAGACGAUUGAUGGUAUCUCUUUUGAGUUUUGUCCCAGGGAAGCUAAUCAGGUGGCCCAUCAGCUGGCAAACACAUGCUUAUGUUAAUGAGGCAGAGUUUAGCUGGAAGGGUGAUCCAUCAUCCUUUUUAUUGCCUUAUGUUUUGCACAAAGCAAUAAAUCAUCGAGAGGCUUAAAAAAUUAUAAUGGCUUAUAGUUUUGAUAUAUGUUGUUCCAGCCGUGCAUGACACGUGCAUGCUUACUUGUCACACCCUGUAUUUUAACUCUUCUGGAUAAACUAACAUAUCUUAAAAAUUAGGACGAAUUAAAUUUUGUGUGAGUGCUUGUGAUGCUUGAUGUGAUUGUUAUUUGCUUGCUUGUUUUCUUGUGUUUAAAUCACAAAGUUCCUACUACUCUUUAGACUCAUAUUCAUGCCUAAAGUAUUUGCCCAAUGAUCAUACCAUGUGUAUAGGACCAAAAACUAUUUUUACCAAAGAGCUUUCAUUUAAUUUAAGCUUUCAAAAACCAUUGAGUCGGGAUUUGUUCUACAAGUCCUCAAACCAGGAAAGUUGUUUUGCACCCAAUAUUUUAUUUAAAUACCAUUAUCAAAAAGACUUCCCAAAACCACAAGAUUAUUACUUUAAAAGCUAUUUUACUAUUUUAUUUAAAUACAUUUUUCUGAGGCUAGAAAUGGUCUUUUAUGAAGAAAGGUUAUUUUUCCUGCAUUCAAAAUAUUUGAGUAAAUUAAGGGAAACUCAGUGGACAUAUAUUUUCCAUAUAUAAUAUUUUAAGCACAUGGUCAUGUUCAAAAUAUUGGACAAAACCCUUCAAAACCCUUUCUGCCUAUUUCAAGCUUUUGGAAUACUUCCAUCAGAAAUAUUCUCAAUAAAUCCCAGUAAAAUUCUAGCAUUUCACACAUGAUAUAUGUGAUUAUCUUGCCAAGUUUCAUCUCAAUCCAAGUUGAUUUAAUUCAGCUAAAUAUUUCAAACCCCUAUUUGUCCAUAUCCAAAUUUGAGCAACUCUACAUUGUCAAGUGUCUCCAAUUGUUCUCAAAUUUUUUGGGCAUGUUUUGAUGCUCCAAUAAUGCAUCCAUACCAAGUGGUGCAUCAAGGAGAAUAGAUGAACUUGUCCAAAACCCCUCAAAACCUUCUGUGUUUAUUUCUAGAAUUGAGAAACUUUACAUUGUGAAGUUUCUCCAAUUGAUCCCAAAGUUUUUGUGCAUGCUAUAAUACUCAAAUAAUGCCACCACACCAAGUGGUGCAUUAGUGAGAAUUAAUUUGCAUGGUUUUAUCUGCCGAAAUACAUUUCUGCCCAUUUGUACGGUGUUUCAAGUCUACAUUGGAAAAUUUCUCCAACAAAUCCCAAAUUUGGUAUUCUGUCUCAUUUUCACCUAUCAUGUGAUCCUGUUAAGUUUCAUAGCAAGUGAACUCCUUAUGCUAGCACUAUCACCCAUCAAACACCUUCUGCUCACUUAUCAAACUUGUUUAUUUGGCCCCUUCUACUAAUCUCCUUGAGCUCAAAUUUUUACCACCUUCUUCUAUCCCUCUAUCACCUUGAGUAACUUUUCCAUGGCCCUCGUCAAUUAUUGGAGGGUGACUCCAUCUCUCUACCUCUCCUUUUUACCAUGGCAGCACCUCUUUUACCCCUCAUUCAAUAUUUCUUUUCAAGCCAAAGCUCCCACAUAUUUUCAAAACACCUAUAGAGUGCUAAUGCACCAUUUUAUGCAAAGGUAUGGCGCUCAUAUGGAAAAUAUGAGCAGCCCUUCUAAAACUUGUUUUUGGCACAAAUGAAGCUUUGAACUACAAGUGCUAGCUAUUCUCACCUCCCUGACCUCAAACUUAUUACAAUUGUAGUUCUUCCAUGCCUAAGACUACUAGACAAGGUUUCAUUUCAAAUUCCUCCUAGUAAAAAUACUUUAUGCUAGCCCAAAGUUUGGUGUUGCAAACUUAAACAGAGAAGAAGCCCCACCUGCAGUGCCCCAUAUGAGACCAAACUUCUCCAUCACUCUUCUACACACAUGCCUUGCUUGCUAGACACCUUUGACUGACCAAAAUGCCACUCUGGACAUGAAUGCGCGUGGUGACCACAUCCCUGGCAUGCAGAAACGAUGAUGUGCACCUUGUCCUCAUCCUGCAACCCAUGUCUGGUAGCGGUAGCAUGUCCCACCGCGCCAUAGGAUUCCCCUUCACUGCCCAUGCCCCUCAGUGACGCCAGCAAAACUGCAAGGUGGCUCCGACGUGUGUGAUGGCCGCGCGAGAGUGUACCUGAGGCGCAUCCGAGCUCCCCCUCGUCGCCCCUCUGUUAUACCUCUCCCCAAGCCCCCUCUUAACCUCUUUGGCUCUCUCUCUCCCUCCAAUAGACCCCCAGGGCCUCCCAAUUUGAGCUCACAUGCCCUGCAAUCGCCCCAUGGCCGAAGCCUUCCUAUCGGCCCUUGCUCAAAUUCGGGCACGAUGAGCGUCCCCUUUCCCCUUUAGAUGCACCAUGGGGAUUCCCGAGCCGCCGCCCGCCUUCCCGCAUCCCCUCUUCCUCCGUAUGCAGCUGCUGCGCUCUGCCAACCAUGGUCGCCGGCCGCGUCCGCCCUGGUGAGUGACCGACUGCGAGCAACUCCUCUCCGGCGUGCGCGACGCACCCCUUCAGGUCGUCGCCCCCCCCCUGAGGUCGCCGAGAGGCUGAGCCUCUUCGCAGGUAGCACGGGCCGCCGACGCAAGCGCCACAGGCUCUCUCCUUUGUUCCUUCCUGCUCGGGCGGGAGAAGGAAGAGAGAUCUGACAGGUGGGGCCCCAUGUAAGCGGGUUGUUCCUCCCACCGGUCGGGCCCCCAACUCAAGUGGAGGCACCCUCAAGUGUUUUGCGCCUCCCCUCGCCGAAAAUGCCUUUCAAAUGGUGCGCCAUCGGCGUAGCAUCUACGCAGGCGCAACUGCGCAACUGGGCCGGCGAAGGAGGUUAUCUUGCGCCAUGUGCGCACUAUAGCUUCCCCUCGUAUAACUCUUUUUCCCUUUUCUUUUUUACAGGAACUUCCAGAAAUCAUAAUUGAUUAUUGUUAGCCCCAAAUUUAAUGAUUCAUGUUCCUUGCCUAUCCAAAUAUGUGCAUUGCACAUUUUUCAAAAGAAAUUUCCUGUAGUAUUAAUAUUCAAAUACAAAUUUGAAUAUUUAAAACCCCAUCUCGCAAAAUUCCUAGGGAGCUCAAAUCAACUCCAAAUUGAGUGAUUCCAAUUUCCAGAGACUUAUAAAAUCAUGCUCUAAUUUUCUAGCCUUAGUCAACAUUUUUCUCUGGCAUUAUGUCUGCUAGGCCAAAUAAAUAGCACAUAUUUCCACUUAUUCCAUGUUAGAAAAUCCAUAGGAAAUUCGUACCAACUCCAAAUCCAAUGAGACCACUUCCAAAAGUCUCUAAAAUCAUGCCCUAUCACAUGGAUGCAUCCACUCUAUGAGAAUAUUUUCUGUAGACUUCUUAUAGGAUCACCAAUUCCUCCUUUUCCGCCAUUCAAAUUCUUCGGUGACCAAAAUCUCUUAGAAUAAGAUUUAUGGAAUUUUCUUAUGUGAGAGAUGUCCAAGAAAAAUAAAACUCCUAUUUUUAGAGCACUUCUGUUUCUACUUGUUGUGUGGCUUGCGGUGGUUGUUUUUGACGGUAGUUGAAGAAGUAGACGAAGUACUCGGAGAUAGAUGAGAAGCAUGAGAAGACCUCGAAGACUUUUUUGAACCAGGCAAGCAGCCUUUUGACCAUGCCUAAGAAACUUUUAUUUGCAUGUCACAUAGCACCUUACUUAUGCAUAUAUUCAUGUUGGAUCGGAGACCCCCCUUGUUGGGUUGUCCCCGAAGAACACCUCGUUGAAACCUGUACUUGGGCAUGACCCUACCACCUAUGAGGGUUGUGCAUGUGGGAUGUAGUUAGUUGCUACGUAAAAAGGGAUGGGAAUAUGCACUGUGACGAUGAAGGGAGUGUUUACAUAGGCUUUUCAAAAACCCCGUCGGGUGCCACUAAUGCCCGAGGGGGGUGGUGUUGAGAUGGAUGACUACUUGAGAAAGAAGUGGUGUACCAAGAAAGAUUUCGUGUGUGUGAUUUCGGAAACGGUAUUAGAUUUAAGAUUUGUCGACCGUCCUGACCUUACAUGUGCGACCACGAUACUCCUUAUGGGACGGGGCUUUGUCGAUUACUCUGGUGGAUGCUAACACAGAGCCCGCAUUACUAGUGGCGGGAGUGACGUGGUCACUCUCGAUACUGGGUCGUGCCAGGUAGGGCGACCAUGAGAUGUUUUUACACGCACCGGGCACAUCGUUGGUCCCUGCAUGGAUGAUACGAUCUAGAGCAAGGCUCGUAUGAUGUACAUCAUGUGGAUUGUGUACCAAUCGAGUGGACUCUUUGUUUAAUGUCGCAGGGGAACGACAUUGUUCGGGUUCUUACCGCGGGUAUGUAAUAUACCACGAGUCGUGGAUGACACAGAAGUUCCCCGAGUCUGGUGGGUACAACGCGCAACCUCUCCAGAGUGUAAAACUAUUCGAAUAGUCGUGUCCACGGUCAAGGACAGUUGGGUAAUCCUGUUUAAACUACGUCCAGUUGUUUCCGCAUAAACCAUGUAUGUGGGAGGGUAUGAGAAAAAGUUUGUGAUAUGUGAAAAAUGAUGCUUGAGCUAAUAAGUCAGGUGACUUGACAUGAUGGGUGGACAUGGGAUGUUUGAUCCAAAGUUGAUAUUGAUAUAUGUAACAUGUUCAUUGGGUUACCGCUAUGCAUUGUGAUGCAUGUCCCCCAAAAAUUUGAUCAUGUUGUUGCACUAGGAAAAUCUACUUUCCGUAAAAACAACAUACUAGUAUAUUCAAAGUACUUAUUGGCUUGCCACUCGUUAUUUCAUUGACCAGAUAAGAGAGAACAGGAGAUGGUGAAGAGUACCUUGGUGACUUUCCUACGAGCUAGGACGCUUCCCAGUCAGAAUGCAUGUAGGGUUAAGGCAGAUGGCGUGGGUUCGCGCUAUCCUUGAGGAUUUUCGUUGCAAUGUAUAUGAAGACUUGGCCAUAAUGGCCAUAUCCGCGCUAAACGAUAUAUAUGGAUGUAAGACUCUCGUUAUUCCGUUUCUGUGUGUUUAAUGAGCCUUGAUCUCUGGGGUUACUGUACACGUGCAUUCGAUGAUCUCGACCUAUAUAUCGGGGUCCCUACAUUACUAGUCAAAGAAAAACACUCCAAUGUAUCGAGCCUGAAAUGGCAUGCACAUAUGUGCCUUCGCAUCGACACGUCACGACAUCUUCUUAGCUGACAGAUCAACAAGAACUGAACGGCUGAGAUCGCCGUGUUGACGGGACCAAGUUCAAAUUGGACGGCCCACUACUAUCGGAGUCGGAGAUGGUCUCCGAUUCCUCACGCAACACACACGGCCUGACGCAAUACUUCCUCUGUUCUUAAAUAUAAGAUGUAUUAGUUAAAAAAAAUAAAACCUUGUUUAUGUUCGACCAACUUUAUAGCAAAAUAUAUAAUGAUUUACAAUACGGAAUAUAUAAAAUAUAAAAAUAUAUUUCAUAAUGAAUCUAGCAAUAAUGAUUUGGUAUUCUAGACCUUGAUACUUUUCUCUACAAACUUGGUCAAAAUUAGACAAAUUUAACUUUUCGAAAAAAAUAGCAAACCAACAUGUGGUUGGAUGGUUAGGAGGACUCUGGUAUCCCCUGUCCACCAGAGUUCAAGUCCCAGACUUGGCGUUGGUGCUUGCAUUUUUCUGAAUUUAUUUCAGGUCUUUCGGCGAUGUGCUUUUAGUGGGAGGAGACGUUUCCAUCGACAACGAAGGCGUCGACGACUUCAUCAAUCUCAAAAUGAUAUGCCGGCUUAGUCUUUCAAAUGUGCUCAUAGGGAUAGGGUGUGCGUGCGUUCAUAGGAGUGAGUGUAUGUGAGCGACUUUGAUUGUACUCUGCUUAAAAUAUAAAAAUGAACUUUUUGAAAAAAUAAUACACUUUGUAUCUAGGAACAUAGGGUAGGACGGCCUCGUCUUCACGUGCCAAAACAAACCAGUCGAUCGGCAUGGCUCGUGUGUCGAUGUGGACGUUCGUUGUUCUCGUCGCGCGGGCAUUGCUUCUCGCGAUGCCGGCUGGUUCCGCUGUUGCGCCCACGAAAGGCGACGCCCGCGGCGGCAACACGGACCCCGUGAUCAGCAUUGACCUCGGCACGACCUACUCGCGCGUCGGCGUCUACCAAAACGGCCGCGUCGAGAUCAUCACCAAUGACUAGGGCAACCGGAUUACCCCUUCCUAGGUAGCCUUCGCCGACAGCGGCGAGCGGCUCAUCGGCGAGGUCGCCAAGAACCAGGCGGCUGCCAACCCUGAGCGCACCAUCUACGACGCCAAGCGCCUCAUCGGCCGGGAGUUCGCCGACGACGUCGUGCAGCGGGACGUCAAGCUGCUGCCCUACCCCGUCGCCGACCGCAAGGGCAAGCCGCACAUCCAGGUGCAGGUGGAGGACGGCGACGUGCGCGUGUUCAGCCCCGAGGAGAUCAGCGGCAUGGUGCUCUCCAAGUUGAAGGAGACCGCCGAAGCCUACCUCGGCGAGAAGGUCACGCGCGCCGUACGUGGUCACCGUGCCGGCCUACUUGAACGACGCGCAGCACCAGGCCACCAAGGAUGCCGGCGUUCGCCAGGCUUGACGUCAGGUGCCGGUGACCUUUUCUGGAAGACGAUGGUGCCGGUGAAGAAGGCCGUGGCAGGCGCCAGGCUGACAAGGUCGUGCUUGUCGGUGGCAGAACCAGGAUCCCCAAGGUGCAGCAGCUCCUCAAGGACUACUUCAACGGCAAGAGGCUGUCGCCUAUGGUGCCGUCGUGCAGGCCAGUACCUGGUUAGUGUGUUGCAAACUCGCCGCCAUUCUUCUCUCUCGCAAGGCGGGUGAUUGUCGGCGCUGGCGCGGAAGCAUCGGGUGCCGUGCGUCUCUCGUUCACGCUGUGGGGAUCUAGAUGUCACUGCCUCACCUUCGUCUUACUUGGGUCUGCAAUAUACGAGUUGUUGCGGUGGUAAAAUUGUAACAAUGGGCCAGUUGCAAAACUAGCGAUGGUGGCUCAUGGGACACAGGAAGGUGGCAGAAGCGGGAGCUGCGAUCUGUCGAGUGAUUACAAGCAUUUCCUUUUUCUAUCAUUGAGCAUGUCACUUCGUACAGCUCUGGGCCUUAAACUCGAAUCAGCAGAGGCACACAGACUGCCUUUCCUUUCCAUGGCCUCGGGACUCCGCCCAGAAAAUGGAAAUCAGGUGGAUUCUUUUUUUCCUGUGAAACUGAGGCUUCUGGAGCCUUUUCUCUAGAAUCUCUCACUGCCAAUCGUGCAAAGCAAACACACUUUUGUGAAACUUUCCUCCGACUCUGGAUUCCUAUAGUUUUCCUGCAAAAUUCCUACGUACCGAACAAAUGUAUGUACUUCCCAUUUUUAGUGUACACACUUCUCAUUGUUGUGUGACUACUUCUCAGUCACACGUAACAUGCACACACUGUCGUAUGGCCAACCCCAUAUAGCUAAUGCUAGCAAAUAACUUGCAUUCAGCUCAACUUUUAUCUCUCAGUCUUUCUGCGCACGAAGAGGAGUUGGGCACCAAAAACUACAGUUUCUCCUAGGUAUAUCUUCGAAGAAGAGCCAGUCCAAGAAGUGGUGUCCUUAGGUAAUUAGCCAAGAAGGAUUCCUCAAGUUCAAGCUUGGCGACAGUCUUUAAUACUCCAUCCGUUCAAAAUAAGUGACCCAAGUUCAAGCUUCACGAUAGUCUUUAAUACUCCAUCUGUCCAAAAUAAGUGACACAACGGAGUAUUGAGCAUCAAUGUCAAAUUUAAUGUUUGGAUGUUAUGUAUUUGAAAGUUGGAAUCCAAUCGAAGCCACCAAUAUCAAUUCCUGUUUGGAUGGCAAAAGUGUUCAAUUGCAAAUGUCAACCCCUUUUCAUCUUCCUCCUGAUUCCACAUCAGCCGAUGGGGCUCUUCUCGUGGUGGAGGGUCUUCCGCCUUGGCUCACCGGAGCGGGCCCUGAACUAGGAGCCGGCGAAGGACACGAGGGCGUGACCUAGGUGGUAGCCGCGCCAUGGCUCGCCGGAGCAUUCCUGAAGGAGCACCCAACGAAGGAAGCGGGGGAGGCGGGAAGAACCAGGUGGUCGCCGUUGCACGCGAGAGAGCAGCGGAUGUUGCUGUUGUGCAUGAGGCGCUCAGCCAUGGCGCGGGGUUGUGGAUGGAGUCAUGGAAUGGGGGGAGUCGCUGUAGCGGGGGUUGCAAGGAUGGAGUCGUAGGCAGAAGUGCUAGCGAAUACCAGCGAAAACCCAGGUCGAGGGCUCCGAAUUGGUCGAGGGGAAGUGUACACCAGAAAAGAGCGAUUCGAUAUUGAGCGUCGACUCCACGAGAGAAUGUUGUGCGCAACCAAAUGACGAUAUUCGGGCUGCCGAAUGCCAAUAUCUAAAACUAGCCCCCAAUAUCAACAUCCGAACGGGCGUGGAGGAUUGAUUCGUACUUGCGACCUUGAGCUGCUGAACACCUGCCGCUGGUUACUAAAAGCAUCACGUGUUAUGGCUUUAAUGUGAGGCUCGGGCAAUUCAACUACACAACGCAGCUUUGAUAUUCUAAGAUAUUUAUUAAUGUCACACAAAUAUUAAAAUCGUGCAGGCCCAAACAAUUUUUAUAAACUCGUAAUUUUUAUAAAGUGUGGCCACUUUUUGGAAAUAAUAAUAUGUUUUUAACACAAACAUUUUUUCUGAAAACACAAUCAAUGUUGGAAAAGAAAACACUAUUUUUUCAAAAAUGGGAACAAUUAUUGAAACCUGAAAAAAUAAAUUAAGCAGUGUAAAAAUAUUUGGUAUUUGGUAAAAUUUUUGCGUUUAACAAUAUAUAUUUGGUAUUUCAAUUUUUUUCCAAUUUUUUUCAAGAAAUGUUUUGUCAGUUUUAAAAAAUGUUUUCAUAUAUGAAUGCUCCUUUUGUUCUUAUAUACCACGUGAGAUAUAAUCACUAGCAGCCUAUAGGACGAUUCGGAAGGUGCGGGCACUAUGGGAAGUGAGGUGCCGAGUUCGAGCACUUUCAAGCUCAUUGUUGCUUCAACUGUUUUUGUUGCUCUUCCUAAUAGAAGACAAGUGGGUUCAUGCAGCUUUUAAAAAUGUUUACUGUCACUAUGAAAACAUAAGAUAAUAUCAUUACCAAAAUGUAAAACAAACAAAAUAAAAAGUGAAAAUAAAAACAGCGCUAGCGACUGACUUAAAAUGGACCGGCCUGAUUCAUCCUAAUGUCAGCCAAUGACAGUCUACAAUCCUUGCCAUAAUUUCCGGGAUUACAAGUUUGAAGUUUAGUUUAGUUUUCUUCUAUAAUUUAAGGGAAAUGAUUUUCCUCAGCCGGCUGAUCAUUACCUUGCAUCCAUGACCUUCCGUGCUAGGCACGUGUCCCACAGGGUUUACAUGCAUUGGAUCGGUUGAGCACUCCGCUGCGGUAAGUUUUUGCAACAAGACAUUUGUUGUAAAAAAGAAAAAACUGCAACCAGGCUUGUGUUAAGAAAAACUUAAAAAUUUCUGCAACAUGACAUUUAUUGUAAAAAAUGCAACAUGACCUCACUCACAAACAUUUUUGCAACAAGAUAUCUGUUGAAAAAAACUGCAAGAAGAGUUGUUUUGAAAUAAUGAAGCGCUACUUGGCCAUUCGAGGCGCCAAAUUGGUCAACUCGCGACACGGCCGAUCUUUUAAAAGGAUCGGCCGAUGGACACGCAACACACCCAUUUUCUUUCUCGACCCAACCAUGGUGUCCAACAGGUCUUUCUGUAACACGAUCUUUGCUAAAGAAAAUCCUCUACAACAAACUCCAUUGCAAACAAAAAUAUACUAGUGUUUUCAUAACAUGAUCUGUGUUGUAGAAAAUAUUAUAUAACAAACUUUCUUACAGAAAAAAUUAUACAACUGUUUUCGCAACACGGUCUUUGUUGCAGAACAUAAUCUAUAACAAACUUUAUUGCAAAAUAAUUACAGAUGUUUGUGCAACACAAUGUGCGUUGUAAAAAAUAUUCUAUAACAAAUCCGAUUGCAGAAAAAAUUAUAAAAGUAUUUCCGCAACACAAUCUUUAUUACAGAAAAUAUUCUAUAACAAACUCUGUUGCAAAACAUUAUACAGGUGUUUCCAAAACAUGAUCUUUUGUUGCAAAAAAUAUUCUAUAACAAUCUCUGUUGCAAAGAAAGUCUACAAAAUAUUUCCGCAACAAGAUCUUUGUUACAGAAAAUUCUGCAACAUAAUCUAUGUUGUAUAAGUUAAUAUGCCCGUCAGCUAUUUGAUGACUACACCUCUAGUCGAAAGCGACCCGGCCGAUCUUUUAAAAAGAUCGAUCGGCGGAUGCAUAGGUUUGUUUUGGACUUUUUCCGAAAUGCUGGUCCGAAGAUCAAUUCGGCAGCCUUGGUCUGGCAUCUGGUUGGACCAAUCGGCAUCGGCGCAUCUGGUUGCCGACUUGUAUAUUUGCCGACUUGUAGUGAUGCAAACGUACGACUGUUUGGAUUUAUUCAAACGUGUGUUUUGAAUCCUGUAGGGAUACAGCUAUUUCCCGUGAAGUUUCUGAAAACCAUGUAGCAAACGGACAGUAUUGCUUGCAUUGCAUGCAGAGCCCGCCGGACUGACAAGUUGAAAUGGUGUCGGCGCCACCGCACUACUGGCGCCUGGCGCUCCCACGUCGCCAUUCGUCGUCCUGGAAACAUCUCAUCCAAUUUGUUCCACCAACCGCGUCGCCAUCGGUCCGCCGUGACGGGCCAGUGCUGUCUGCCGUGCCACGACCGCCACCUACUCCGACCCACACAAACGUCCCCAGGUUUUAAAGCGCGAGCGAGCCCUCUCCGUCCUUCCCUCCCACCGCCGGCNNNNNNNNNNNNNNNNNNNNNNNNNNNNNNNNNNNNNNNNNNNNNNNNNNNNNNNNNNNNNNNNNNNNNNNNNNNNNNNNNNNNNNNNNNNNNNNNNNNNNNNNNNNNNNNNNNNNNNNNNNNNNNNNNNNNNNNNNNNNNNNNNNNCCCUCCCACCGCCGGCCGCCGCGACAGCGCGGGCUCCCCUCCCGGCCGGCCGCAUGGAGCCGCCGGCGCCUCCGCCCCCGCCCCCGCCGCAGCUGCACCUGCGCGUCCUGGACACCGUCAGGCUCUCCCCGGCGCGGCGGCCUCCGGCGUCGUCCCUGCCGCUCUCCGGCCUCGACGCCGACCGCAACGUGCUCGACGUCUCCUUCCGCACCGUCCGCUUCUUCCCUGCCCACCCGGUCUCCCUCGACCCGCUCGACGCCCUCCAGGCCGCGUUCGCCCACGCGCUCGGCCUCUUCCCGCAGCUCGCCGGCUCCGUCGUCCGGGAAGNNNNN